rnacentral:lncRNA from 1 species
GGUCAAUGGUUGGAGGAUUUACCAAGUGCAUUCGAUAACUGAUGCAAUUGUUUUUGCAAUGGCAUUCUCUCCUUCCUCAAGUGUCACAUUGGAUAUGAGCUCGUCUUAAGGCUUUUAUAGCAGUUUGUUAAGUGGAGAGUGCCAAAGAUUUUGACAUAGCAAUAUAAAAGUCUGGAUCAUAAUUCAAGAAAAAAGAAUCUCUUAAUCUUUGGAGUUUGUUUUGCUGAAUCCUCCUGAUGCUCAAAUUACAUCAUUGUCUUUAUGGAGUGAAGGAUGGGUUUGGAAGCAAGACACAUCCCUUCUAUGAAUGAAAAGGCUAAACAAUGCAGUUUGGUUGGUUGGAACAAAUGUUUACAAGUACAUAAUCUAAAUAUAUGUGUGAAUGUGGUAGAGAAAGCAGCUAAAGUAUACAAGAUGGUGAAUCAUUCUUGUGUAGGGAGGAACUUUUGCUGACAAUCUAAAGAAGUUUCAGAUGAUAUAUGUGCUGAUUUGGAGAUAGGAACAAAAGUAUAUUGUAUUACUGUUACAAUGAAAAUUUGACUCUUGUACCAGAUUUUAACAUUAGUUUUUUUUUUUUUUUUUAGAGUAGAUCUAUAUCUAUGAGUUGGAUGACUUAAGACUAUGCAACUUGGUACUGUUGUUAAGAGUGAUGAGGAUUUAGGUUCUUAUGGGCACCUUUUUUUGCCUUGUUAUGUGAAUUGUUCAAUUGUAUUAAUUAGAUUUAUGCUCAUUCAUACAAAAAUGAUACUUGCUAAAUUUGAGAAUAUUAGGCCCUUGCUGAUGUUGAGGCAUAGGCCAUGACCUACAAAAGCUUUUUGUUAUUGCAACAUGCAGUUAUCUCUUUGUACCUUGGCAUACUGUAGGUAGUUUUAACAACUCUAGGUGGUGCUAUAUGGAGCUUUCAGCCAUAGUUGUAUAUUUUGGGCAUUAGACUCAUGCAACUGCCUCACCUAUCACGGUUUCUGGCAAAUGUAUUUUUUUCUAUUUUUGGGAGGUUCUUUUGGUACAAUAUAACCCUAGUAUUUGCUAAUAUAGUUGGGCCUAUAACAUAAUAUAUGAAUUGUUUUGUGAUGUCUUCUAAAUCUAGCAUCUUCAAUCUGCUGCAGAAAGAGCUUGAAAGAUUCUUAAUUUGUGCUGUGGAUUUUUGAUAUCAUUAGGCAAGGAAUGUUUUUGUUAGACUCUUGGAUGCUUUCCAUGUCAUGAGGAUAACUUGGAAAGUUUUUAAGUUUAUAUAUUUUUUGGGGUGGGGUGCAGUUUGAGUUUUCAUUUUGUAUGUUUCCCCUUUAUUUGGUUGUUGCCAAACCAGCUGCAAAUCUGUAGUCAAUAUAUUAUAUGUAUCAGUAUUGUCCAUUUAUUCAGCUAAUCUUCUAUUCUUUUAUUGCCUUUAUCCUUUGAUUUGUACUCAUACAAGCCCUUAAGCUUUUUGGAAAAUUAAUAGUUGUCGAACCCAUUGCUGGCGGCAUUUUGUACGCAUGGCAUGACCUGAUCAUAUGACUCAUUCCACAUCAGCUAAUAUUUGCCCAUGUCAGCUGUCACGUGGAAAGAAAAUGUCGGUUGGCAUUAAGUUUGAUGGUUGUCAAUAACCAUUAAGGAUAGAAUACUAAAUUUGAUAGUUGAUUAAUAUAUAUUAAGGGUUGUUAGAUAUAUUCAUACAACAACUUGUAUGCACAAAGACAGGGAAAGUUUUACAAAUAAUAUAGUUACGUGGGGAGGGUACCAUGUCAGUUGUCACGUGGAAAGAAAAUGUCAGUUGACAGUAAGUUUGAUGGUUGUUAAUAACCAUGAAGAAUAGAAUAUUAAAUUUGAUAGUUUAUUAAUAUAUAUUAAGGGUUGUUAGAUAUAUUCAUACAACAACUUGUAUGCGCAGAGACGGUGAAAGUUUUACUAAUAAUAUAGUUACAUAGGGAGGGUAUGUCUUUCUGAUGCUUUUGGAUAAAAACUCACCCUUGCCUGACUAUAAGCUUGAUAUCAUUUUAUAUCCAAGUAUUUAAUAUAAGUUGAAGUGACUAUACUUAUGUAUGUUGAGUGUACAAUUUGUCACAUAGAUGACAUGUUGGGCUCUCUGGUCUCAGAUUCAAAUGAACUAAAUCCAUUCUCAUAAGUUAUGGAAAAACUGGUGUUUUGAAUUUCUCUUAUUCCAUCCUUGAACCUUGUAAUAGCGGUCUCUUUAGGCAAAAUAGUCGUUAGAAACCAAACAGCAAAAUAAAACAGGAAUCUAAUUUUAAAACACUAGUAAUGCUGCAUGCCUCGUGCUUGCAAUGAAAUUAGCAUGUUGACAUGUGAUUUGGGAAUGUGUCAUAUUUUUAUUGCCUUCAUGUAGUCUCUCUUCUCAUUUUUGUUUUUGGAAAUUGGACAUCUGUUUAAUGGAAUUGGAUUUUUGCCCUAUGCAAUUUAAAUCAAAUAGCAGAGUGGACAUGAAAAUUCACUGACAUGUGAAUUAGAUCCUACCAUGAAUUAAAUCAAUGAUGGACUUGAGACAGAUGGAGGGUGGUUGUAUUUAUUAAUGUCUUACUUCCCUACUUCCAGAUCAUACUGCAUUGAUAAGAAUACGUGCUACUACUUUUGGUGAAAUGAGUGGCAGCAGAAAACGCUGUUCUAAGUGGGAUUCAAAGGAGGAGCGGCAAUAUUCUCUUGAAAAUGUACGAGACGCUGCUUGGCCUGCGAAAGCAGGUGUGAGUUUUCAUGAUAGAGAAUCAGAACAUGGGUAUUUUUCUCCAGAGGUUGGUAGGAAUGGCAACAAGUGGUCUUUUAUGGAAGCCAGUGACAUGAUGAAAUCUAAGCAUGGACUGCCUUCAAGGGAAUCUUUAACCGGAGGCAGAGGUGCACGAAAGGAUGAUAACAUCAAUGUUGACUGUGUCAAAAAUUGGAAAACUACAUCUCCGUGGGAUGGGGAUGAGACCUACAGCAUGAGAAUGUCUCCUGGUCUUGAUGAUUGGAGGCAACAAAAUCGUCGCCAUUCUCCUAAAAGUGAUUGGAGCAGGUCUCAAAGGUUUGAUUGUCUACUUGUGUAUCCUUGAUUAUUAUUAUCAUCUUUUUGAAGAUGUCCUGGUUGUUAGUAUACUGUUUGUAUAACCUGACUCUAUCGUAUCAAUCCCAUGACCUAUAUAUUAUGUAUUUAUUCUUCAAUGUUGCUAAGAAAUUGAGAAUCACAUACUUAUUGCUUCUUUUUGCAAUUUCAUUUUUGUUGAAAGUGCUUCCCUGUGCUAAAUAUAUUUCAUUUUUUCUCCAAUUAGUUUGUGAUUUUCCCCCCAGGGUGAUUUUACUUGGAUUUUGUGUUGUCACUGAGGUUGCAUCUCAGCUUAAUAUGUUGAACAUGAUGUUUUGGACUCUCUAAUUAAAAUUAUAUUCUAUGCUUUUUGCGUGGAUAAAUGGUUUUGUCUCCUCUGAUCUUUCUGUACUGUCUUUUUUCUUCUUCCUGUUGAACACUGUCUAAUAUGUCUCCCAAUAUUUAGUUUUACCCACAAAAGCAGGAGUAGGAGCUGGAGCAGGAGUCGUAGUAGAAGCAGGAGCCGAAGUCCAGUUCGUGGCAUUAGGCGGCAAUCAGGAUUCCAUGAAAGAACCAGAAGCAGAUCUGGAGUGUCAACUCAAAUAUGUAAAGAAUUUAUGGCUGGGAGAUGCAGGAGAGGCAGUCAGUGUCAGUUUCUUCACCAAGAUAUUCAAAGUCAUGAGGAUGGUUGGGAUAAUAGACAAAAGAAAGCUGGGGGUUCAAAAUAUUUUACUCCGAAUGAUGGUAAAGAGUAUCUGAUAAAGAGUGGAAGGUCUACUGAUUGCUGUAAUGAUUAUCUGAAAGGUAAUUGUCGCAGGGGGGCAUCUUGUAGGUUUGCUCAUGAUGGUGCCUCUGAUGGCUUCAGUAGAGGAUCCAUAAAUGAGGUAAGUAGGGAAAGAGAAAGCAACAAGAGGAACAGAGUUGCAACUCCAGAGCGAGAUGGUGAGCGUGAAGCUCGAAGAAGUGAUGUUCCUUGCAAAUACUAUGCUGCUGGAAAUUGUCGUAAUGGAAAAUAUUGUAGGUUUUCUCAUCAUGGUCAGGCACGUGCAAGUCCUGAAAGGUCACGUGGUGAUAGGGGGGGAUGGGGUCAAAGUUUGGUUAGUGUGGAUAAAUUACGGGAUGGUGCAAAAUUUAGAGAUGCAGAUGCUUCAUAUAAUGUGGAGAAAUCUAGAAAUGGUCCAAAAUGGAGUGAUGCUGAUGCUUCAAAUGAAGCAAAGAAAUCCUGGGCUGGUCCAAAAUGGAGUGAUGCGGAUGCUUCAAAUGAUGUGGACAAAUCUUGGACUGGUUCAAAAUGGGGUGAUACAGGUACCUACUCAGGUGCAGCAAAUAUGAGCAAGGACAUUAAUGGAAAAGUGGGUGCCUCAGAAUCAAGAUUCCCUGAUUGGUCCAUGGACGAGAGAUGGCAGCAUAAUUAUGAUGUAAGUGGAAAGAGCAGUGAGACUAAAGUGCAUUAUGAAACAGUUGAUAUUGACAAGGAUGAAGCAAUUCCAAGGAAGAUAGAAAAUGCUGGUCUUAGUACUGGUGUAUCUGAACCAAGGGGUGCUGAAGAGUCACUUGGUGAUAUGGAGAUGUCUCCUGAGUGGAAUUACAGGAUCCCCUCUUCUGUGAAAAAAGAAACUUCUCAUAGUUCAAAGUCUCAAGCUCCCAUUGACACAUCUUUACCAGCUCAUGAAAAGGAUAUAGCUGAAGAGGCCUCAGGUCGGGUGUGUGAUGGGCUUGCAGCUUCACAGCCAAUCUCAAUUCAGAAAUCUAACUUUCAACAUGACCAUGUGAUGAGGGGGAGCAGUGCUGUUGCAUUGCCAAGUGAUAGCAAUGCUGCUAGCAGAAAUUCUGCUAUUUCACACAUUGAUCUAAAUUUUUCAAGCAACAUCCUGCAAAUGAAAAGCUUUGACCAGCCUGGGCCAAGUUCAAGUUCUUUACCUUAUUCAAACUUAAAAGUAGUUGGACAAAGUCAAGUGGCAAUCCCUUCAGACUCUAAUGAAGUAAAUGUAAAAGUUACGCAAAACAACCUGCUGUUUCAGGAGGAGAAACCAAGCAACAAAAUGAAUAUUGGCGAUACAAAUACAUCGAAUGGUAAUUCUGGAACUCAGUCAACUCAAAACAUGGUAAGCAAUGAACAGCUCACCCAACUUACCAACCUUUCAGCCUCUCUAGCUCAGUUAUUUGGAAAGGGGCAGCAACUUCCACUACUUCAUGUUGCUCUUAAUGCCCAUGAUGCAAUGCAGGUGAAUUCUUUUGCAAGUUCUGGAGGACCUAUUGAGCCUGAUUCCAUGCCAACUGUACAACCAGGUCAAGACGUUACAUUCCUGAAGCAAUAUGACCCUAUAUCUGAUAGCAUUGAGCCUGUUAAGAAGCAGGACACAAAUACUAAGCCUUUGGGGUUUUCAAUACAUCCUGUUGCUCAGAAGAAUACUGCAGAUGGAAAACCAGAACUAUCAGCUAAUAUGUUACUACCAUCAUCUCUUGUGGGUAGCACAAAUGGUGGUGAUUAUCAUAAUGACCACAGUUGCAAAAGAGAGCCUGAUUCCGAUAGCCAUAUGCCAAAUCGGGUGGAGCCUGUUGCAAGUUCUGAGGUGACAAAGGAAAAUGAAGGAGUUGAGGAAACCAAGAAAGCUCAAGAGGAGAAUAAGAAUGGUCCAUCAGAGAAUGUAGAUGCAGAUGAUAGGACUGAUGAGGGCAAGAAGAGCAAAGAUGGUAAGGGGAUUCGUGCAUUUAAAUUUGCACUUGUUGAGUUUGUCAAGGAUCUCCUCAAACCAACAUGGAAGGAAGGUCAAAUUGGCAAAGACGCAUACAAAAACAUUGUGAAGAAAGUUGUUGACAAAGUGACCGCUACAAUGCAAGGAGCUAAUAUUCCUCAAACACCUGAAAAAAUUGAUCAAUAUCUGUCAUUUUCAAAACCAAAGCUUAGCAAACUUGUACAGGUGAGUGCAGCUUACUUUUAAAUUGAAGGUUUCAAACUUUGUAGGGGAAGGGUAAAACAACAUAAGACCUUUCUUUUGUUGUCUUUUCCAUUAGUGCUUAGCAUGUUUAUCUGGCCUUCAUUUGUGCCAUCAUUUGUAACUUUCGUUAUAUCACACAAUAACAUGCUUAUUGCUAGGGGCUCUUGAUCAAUGUGCUUUUGGUCAUAUAAGUUGCAACUCAUUGGAAGAUGUCUUAUGUCAUGUCAAUGGUUGAAGUUGAUAGACAAUUUCCUUUUAUAAUGUUAUUGUUAAUUUAAUCUAGGCUGUUUCAUUUUAUGCAUAGUUUGCUGACCUCUUUACAUUCCUUAUUCUGUUGCAGGCAUAUGUGGAAAAGUUUCAGAAGAACUAAAAGAAACAUGGGAUCGUCCUGUCUUUUUGUUUUAUUAUUUUUAUAGUUAUAUAUUAAGCCGUCAUAUCUUUUGUUUUUUUUUUUCAUUUCUUUAUCCAGUUUCCUGUAGCUUCUAGGAAUGCUAACCUUUUCAUUUUUGUUUAUGUUUUAUUCCUUGGAAGCAGGGUUAGGUAGUGAACUUUAACUCCCUGUAGAUAUUUUGUUAUUUUUGUAUUAGAAGUUAAUAUAUGAUGUUGGCACUUGCUUGUCAUAUGUGGGUAUUUUGUGCCAGUUGUGAUGUUUCUAAAUCUAGUGUCUGAUAGUGAUUGUUGCUAUCUAGGCAUCCUGUUUGAUCUAGGGUUUUAUAUGCCUGAGUUAGAUGUUUAGACAUUUUUGAAACUUAGCAUGUUAUUUUCUUGGCAUUUAGCAUUGAUAUGUUUGUCAGUGAAGAGCAUAGAAAUUUUGCCUUAUUAAAGUUCAUAUAACUGCAUGCCUGCAUUGCCAAGGAAUUGCCAACAUGGUCAUGCAGUUGGGUUGUUUUAUGCCAUGAGAUUUCCUGCCAUUGCUUCUGAGCGUGAAGAACACAAUGAAAAUUGUCUUCAGUGACGCAAGGAAUGCGAAAGAUAAUUGUUAAUAUACAUUUUGUGUAUGGAUUUUGUAGUAACAGGACACUUGGUGAAGUAUAUCUCUGUUGAAUGGAAGUCCCCGUCAUUUUUUCAUGAAGUUAUGCUUCAGCGUCCUUGGUAUUAUUAUGUUUUCUAAUGCUUGACAGCAAGUGGAUGCUGCAAUACGGGGUUCUUGUCUGAUCAAGCUUUUGGCAUAGCUAACAUCCAGAACAGUGGUAUGACUGAGCCAUUUUAUGUAGUAACACUUUGCUCGUAAGUUAUCGUGUCAGAUAUAAUGGACCAGGAUUACGUUGAGAAGUUUAAGCUAAUAUUAAAAGGGAUCAUGCCAUGCAUGCAAAGACUCAAGUGGUUUUGUUUAAAUUUUGAUAAUUUGUUUGAAUGGGAAUAUGGCAUUCAUGCAAUUCAGGUAUUUUUAGUAAAUUUUAACCCAAAAAAAUUAUGUAAACAGGGAAUUUUGGUAAAAAAGAAUAUGAUUAUGGUAGAACUUAAAAGAAAAGGGGAUGAAAUAGGAAUUAGGGUUGCGAAAUGAGAGUGGCCGACAUCCAUGAUGAGAAUAGAAGCGAGUCAUAAGUAUUCAAAUGACGAGAGGCUUAAUUUGGAGCUCAAUAUCUUAGGUUUUAUGUAUAGAUGAUGCCUAAAACAUGAUUGAACGGAACCGCACCCCCUCCGUCCCUGUCGCACCCUUUGAGUCUUUGAAAUUAAUUCUAGGCAGAGAGUAUGUGGUUGCAUUUAUCACGUGUGCUAUCCUUUUUUGUACGUUUUGGAUUACUGAGAUUGCCACAGCAUAGAGUCAUGGGGUUGGCUUGCCUAGCUGUUAAUAAGCUAACUAUGACUCUAAUCCCACUAAUACCAACCAACCUCUACUCAAGUAUAUGUAUACACCGUAUGUACUGUAGUACACCAAAGUUGUAGGUGAAUGUUCUGCAGGCCAUAAAGAAACCUAGUCCAAAAUGAAGGGGGGGAUUUGGAGGGGAGGGGUAUUUUUGGAAUUCAGGUUUUGUUGACAAAAAGGGGAAGGCAGAAAAGCAGGCUUAAAUUUAAAUUUGUUUGUGCAUGCAAUGCAUCUUCCCAAUGCUCGGAGAGAUUUGGUUGAAGAUGAGGUUUUCAGGUGCUAUUUUAGGACCCGACAAGGGACAAGUCCACUUUUUCCUUUCUUUUCCCCUAAGUUGACAAUUGAAAAAAAAUUUUCCUCCUACUCACAACCGCGGUCCGGACUCCGAGGAGAGAGGGCUCUUAAAUUUCACAACCCUAACCCCUCCAUUCCUCCUUCCCUUUUUAUUUCUUAGGGAAUGGAUGAGCCAAUGGGUGUCAGAUCUCGUAACAUGUUCUUCCCAAUUCAUCAACUGUUUUGAUGAAGUAAGCCUCUCUUUUUCAUACAACCAUUGUCUUGUUCCUCACCACUUCCAGUUCUAGUUGGCCCAGACUUGGUUUCCAUUCACAAAAAUUAUUGCUGAAGGAGUCAAAAAGGGGCACUCCAUGGGUAUAUAGUUAAUUCUUAUUUGUGUCCCUUGCCCUCAAUUCGAUUUCAACUUCACACCUCGUUCCUCUUUUAUUUAUUUAUUUAUUUAUUCUAUAUAUAUAUAUAUAUAUAUUGUUGACUAUAUAUAUCAUUCAAAAAUUAGUAGAGAUUACGUCAUUUCUCUUAAAUCAUAAGCCUUAAUUUGUCUGCUUGACAAAACAAAAGAUAACUAUUAGAUGAGGCCAAUUAAUUAGUUGGUUCCAUUUAAACUUCAAUCCUACUAAUCAUUAUUUCCUAAUAUAUAUGACGACUUUUCUAUUUGUAGUAUAUUCUUUGCAUUUUGGAUAACCUGUUGCUAUGUAUAGCAACUCUUUUUUUUCUUUAUUAACAAUAUCUCUUGUAAUUUCAUAAUAGUCAAUUUCAAAUUAAUUAAAUAAUUAAAUUUCUUAACUUGACAAGUUAUCAUUAUCAUAAUAUAUACAUACUCACAUGUACACAUGCAUUUGUUUACAGUAAUACCGAGAUCUAUUUUUGUUAUGCUUUACAACGUUAAUCUAAGAAUCUUAGCUAGCAGUGUCACAUGAGUACAUGUGCAUAAUCAAUGGCUUGGCAGAUGAUCUAUAUAUCCAUAGAGGUGACACAUCUCAAAACUAUCUAUGACCUACGCACUUUAUCUAUUUGUAGUCAAAGUUUUAAAAGGUAAACUAAAAGUACUAUACGCGUAGUUGAACCCCUCAAUCACCUUUAGACUUGGUUGCUUGUAACUUGUCAAUGGAAAUGCCUCAUAUCUUUGACUAGGAAGUUCUCACAGAGGUUACCGCGUACAUGUACAAUCAUCAUAUACGUGUAAUGUAAUGCUUGAAUGGUACUUGGGUCCUUUUGUUUGUGAUUGAUACAAUAAUAAUGCCAAAGUUUAAUUCUAUACUAUGUUACAUCAUGGGUGUUUGGGAAUAGGCAAGUGAAACCCUAGCAAAUGAAUGAUUGCUUUGUGCAUGCGCGAGUGGGAGAGCAAAUAGAAUUAUAACAUUGAUUCAAUGAAAGUGACCAAAGCGUGUGUGUUGCAUUUGUUAUUAAAGGAGAGAGAGAGAAAGCGCGGGGAUGAUCUAAGCAAUUUGUCCCGCCGUCUGAUAUAGGUUGGAGGGUGUGAUGCAGUAGAGUUGCUAAUUAAGUAAGAAAAACCUUUCCCUCCCAGCCAAAGUUUGGUUCAUGAUUGAUUGUACCAGAUGAAUCAGAAAGACAGUUUCAGACGCUAUAGAAAUUAUGUGGUUUCAGCCCAAAACUCAUUAUUAUUACCCAACCUGAUGCACCUUUUAUUGCAUGAUAGCUGUAGCUCUACUAAUUUCUUCCUUUUUUCCCCCUUUUGGUCUAUGCUGUGGGAAGAUUGUGUGCUCUCUUUCUCUCCUGUGAGAGAAGAAGAAGAAGAAUAUUGAGAAGAAACAAAGAGGAAAAUUAAAGAAGAAUAUUCACAAAACUCUUUAUUGUCAUCUAUCCUUCAGCCCAAACUAAAAACCAUGUUCUAGUUGUUCAUUAAUUAGACUGCUUGAAGAUGUUGCAUAUAUACUUGUUUAGGUUGUUCAAUCCUAAUUAGACAGUUUUAACUUUUCGUAGUCAUACACUGGCUGCAAUAUAUAUGUAAUUGGGUUAAAUUUUUCCAAGGAACCUAGUUCUUGUAUAAUCGCAUUCUUUCCCCAAGCUCCAAAAUGUACAUCAUGGUUUUAGAGUUAUUUUCUACACAAUCUAAGAAACCAAAUCCUAUAAUAUUCUUUCUGGCCACCAAAAGAUAUAAUUUUUUUGUUAAACCACACGGUGCACUAAAAAAAUCAAUUUAUAUAUUUAUAUACUUUUAUGUGUUAAACAUGAAAAAUUAAGUAACAAACUAAAAGUAAACAUAACAAUUAGGUCAUAGAGCUUUUAUAAUUUCCUUUUAUACAUGUUAAUGAGCUUCAAUUUAAUUUAGGAAACCAAAAUCACUUCCGAUAAUGUGAAAUCACCACCUUUUUUCAAAAAUUCAUGUUAACUUAAAUCACACAAUAUUAAAUUUAAAAAUGUUCAAAGAUUAUUAUUGAUACGAAAGAUCAAUAUUCGUCAGUGACAAUGACGUAUCCAGCAUAUAUAUAUAUAUAUAUAUAUGAAUAAUGGUAAAAAGAGUUUGUGAACAUAGGCGCAGAAUAUGGAAAUUUUGAUUAACAUGCACAUGUCACUUUAUGUGAAUGAUACAAGCAGCAUUUAUUCCAAAUUGACAGCAAAAGAACAGCUAGAUUUCUGAUUUGCUUUACUUUUCAUGUUUUUCUAAACAAUUACAUGGUAGCUUUAAAUCCAAUGUGAAAAUCAGUAAGUAUUAGAUGCAAUUCAUGCUUAAGCAAAAAAUUGGUAUUGAUUUGCUUGAAGAAAGAUGGCUUUAUAUUGUUAUUAUAUUUGUAUGAUAUAAACUCAGAUUUUUAUUUAAUGCUUAGCCAAACUAGAGACUCCAGAAGUAUUACUGAUCAACUUAACCAAAUGCACCAAAAAGAAAAUGAAAAGGAAAUCUAUCAUCAUGUGAAGCAAAACCAUAAUGAACAAGAAUAUAUAUAUAUAUAUAUAUAUAUAUAUAUAUAUAUAUAUAUAUGUACAGACAUAUACAUAGACAUACAUAUAUAUAUAUAUAUAUAUAUAAUUCCGUAAUCAUUGAGAAUAAUUGAUAAUUACUUGCUUUUUUAGCUCAUGUUAGCAGUAGUAAAAGAGGCAAAAAGGGUUAAGAGGAGUAGGGUUAGGGCCAGAUCUUAUGAGAAUUAUAAUGAGGUGCAAGUUUUAAAUGUAUUACACAAACUUAAUCGUAAAAUGGUAUUCGUACCAAUCUUUGAAAAAGCCAAACAAAACCAUCAGUACAUCCUGGAAAAACAAACCCUAUAGCAAAAAGCCCUAAAAUUUCAGUGCUUGAUAUGUGAUAUGCCAUAUACAAUUAGAAAUGAAUGAACUCUAGAAAUAUGGCAAAGGCUGCUAGCUUCACUAGGGGCAAUUCAAUUCUUGACUCUAGCUAGAGUACUUGUGAGAAAAAGUGAAGAAAAAUCUCAACCCUUGGAUUGAUAUCCAGUGAUCCAACUAGGUCCAAAAACGUAGCCAAUAUUUUGCCAUAUAUAUAUUCCCCAUGCUUUCUCUCGUUCUAACCCUUAGUUAUGACAUAUGGGUCAUCAAGCUUCUUAAAGCUACAGAAACACCAAAGGAGGGUUUUCUUUUGCCAAUAACCAAACCCUUUAGCAUAGGGGCUUUUAUAGGAAGAAGGGUAAACUUUAAUGUGUUAUUAUAAUCGUGCAAACCACUUCAACAAGCCAUUGGAUAGUGUCUCUCUCUCUCUCUCUCUCUCUCUCCCUCAUUCCUUUUUGAACAGAGAGAAUUCAGAAGCUCCCUCACUCAAUUGAUGGAUAUCAAUCAAACAAAGCUCCCAAGUCACACUUGGAAUCUUGAAAUGUCCACGGAAGAUCAUGUCCUUCAUGAGCAAGUUCCUUUGAAUCCAAUUUGGCCUAGCUACCCUCUUCAAACGCAUCAAACACCAUCCUCAACCUCCAGCCAAAUACCUAGUGCAACAAAUGUUUACAGUGACCAAAUGGGUCAGCUUGCUGAAGAGGAAGAAGAGACAGAAGAAGAGUUAAGCGCCAUGAAAGAAAUGUUGUACAAAAUAGCGGCGAUGCAGCCCGUGGACAUAGAUCCAGCCACUAUCCGAAAGCCCAAGAGACGCAACGUGAGAAUCAGUGAUGACCCCCAGAGCGUGGCAGCGCGUCACAGGCGAGAGAGGAUAAGCGAAAAGAUCAGAAUUCUGCAAAGACUCGUUCCAGGAGGCACGAAAAUGGACACAGCUUCAAUGCUAGAUGAAGCCAUCCGCUAUGUCAAGUUCUUGAAGAGGCAGAUUCGGCUGUUACAACCCAAUAACCAGCAGCCACCAUGCCAUGUGAACUGGCAAGUUACUCCAAAUAAACCUCUCGUUUCGACCUCCUCAACCUCGAUGGAGACACAGCAGGCAGGCCCUGAAUUCACUUUCGGUGGCAACGGGGGAAACCCCUUGUGCUUUAAUCAUGAGGUAAUUAAUGAUUAAUAUCCCUAAAUCAACAUGUAAUUGUUGUAUUAAUGAUAAUAUUAGUGAAAAAGGGGUGUGUGUAUAUAUAUAUAUAUAUAUAUAUGAAGAUUAAGAUUAUAACCUUUCCAAAAAAAAAAACAAUGAUUAAGAUUAUCAGAUGUAAUGCUAUCUUAGGGGGUCAAGGGAGUUGGGGGGGAGAAGGGUUUGUUAGGAUUUUGUUGACUAAGGUGUCGAAUAAUCAUAACGGUUAGCUUGAGUUACGUUGAGCCAUAUAUAAAAUAUAUAAUAAGGUUAUUGAAGAGUCUAAAUUGGCCGGAAACUUUGUUUGGCCGACUCUCUUUCCGGGAAUAAAAAGGUGACGUGAGAAAGCUAUUGAAAUCAUUGUUCUUUCCCCUCUCUUUUUCUGCAUAUAUAUACUAUUUUUAUUUUUGGGCUGUUUUCGGGGUUUGUGGAUGAGCACAUGUAUGCAAGUGCAUAUAUAUUUUGUUUAUACAUAUAUGCAUGAAUACAUGUGACAUUGUGGCAUGCCCUCAUUGGUGAAAUGCGAUAAAUGUAAAUAUAGAACAAGAUGAUUCAUACUAAACUAUGAAAUCCAAAUUACAUGUUGUUUUCUCUUCUCUUUUUUUCAGUCAAUCAAAAGAUUUUCAUUAAUAUGGUAUAAGCUACAAGAGUGUCAGCUUAAUGGUCCUGCGUACAAGCAACAGUACAAAAGAUAUCUUGUUGUUGCAAAAAAUCAUAAGAAAGAAGCCUCCAAAAAUAACAGAGCGAAGACAAUGCAUAGGUAGAUUAAAAGUUAAUGCCAAAAAGACAUAAAAUAAAUCACAGGCACAUAAUAGAACACAAGCCCCCAAGAAGACAAAGCAACAACAAAUUCGAAAUCCAGCAACAAUGCACAUAACAGCUCAAAUCACAGUUUAUCCAACAGAUUGCACCAGGUAACAGGCAAAAACUCAAGAAAGUAAUAAAGGCGUAAUGAGACGUGCUUACGCAAUACAAAAUUCACCACCAAGCAAAAAAUGAAGAGGGUUUGUCAACACCAUACGUAGCCAAGGAGUCAGCAAAGCCAUUACCUUCUCUAAAUACAUGGGAAAAGAACACAGUACUUAGAGAAAGGCAUAGAGAAUCCAACUCAUUAAAAAUAUGCCAUUUGUCCCAAGGGCGUUGCUCAAGUGAUUUCCAUCCACAAAAGAGCUACUUUUAAGUUAGACUCAAUAGUGUUCAUUUGGGGAAAGAAGAAAAAAACAAAAGACCCCUUAUAUGUAAGUGACUUAAACCCUAGAUUCGUUCAAGCUAAAAUGAAAAUGACAAAAAAAAAAAAAAAGAUAUGGGCAAUUGAGCUUAAACGCUUAGCUCAAGUGGUAGAGGUGGGAUAAGAUUUGGACAGAAAUUCUAAUUAAGUCCUAUAUCAAAAAUGAAAAUGAAGAAAACGUGGUUGUGACCUUAAAAAAACCUUGCAAUGUGUCAUGGUCCUUGCGUGGAUGUGAAUCUCACAUCAUAGAGAUAAUGUUCUCAACAGGUGAGAUACAAAGUCUCACAUCGAUGAGAAACUCCGAACGAGAAAUAAAGGUAGAUGUCAUGGUUAUAGAGAAGGAGCCAUGAAUCCCACAUUGAUUAUAUACUAGAAUGAUACUGGAAAUAUAAGGGUUCACAUCAACUUUAACCUAUAAAGGACCUUUUGUGAGAUAAAAUCGUAAGGUCAAUAGACCAAAGUAGACAAUACCUCAUACGGGUUGAUGUGAACCAUGACACAAUGCAUUGUCUUUCCUUGUUCUUAUUUUUUGUUCUCCUCAAAGAUUUGGCAGCUAAGAUGAUAAAGAUAAACCUUGUUGAGUAUGUUCCCAAUGUUACUUGAGAGAGAUUCACUUAAAACUAAGUUUUGAUAUUAUAAUGUUCAUUUACAUGAAAUUGAAGAAGUUGAAUUAGGAUUGCCAUAGCCAGAUGUAUCAAAUCUUUCCACACAUGGAGUUUUGCGACUCCUCUUGUUGUUGCUUUAUUCCAAGAUAAAGUGAUAAAUAUAUUAGGUCAUUACAUUUUUCUUUUGGCUAUAAUACUUAUUCAAGAUGAUAAAAAUCAAGCUUCUUAACUUGCAUUUGGGUGCCACAUGCAAUAUAUAUCUAGCAAUAUAUGUAGGUAUCACUACCAAAUGCACACUCACACCCAUAUCUGUGAUCUAAUAUGAAUACAUCAACUUUCAUUUGGGUAUUAAAAACUGAUUUAGACUGCAUUGUAAUGUCAAACAUAUUCACAAUUUUCCAUCCAACUUGAGGUUUGAGCCAAUAGUGACUUUUUAUCAUAAUUUUCCAAACUACAGUUUUUCUAUAAUUGCUCUAGGCAUGAACGGUUUUCCAACCCAACCAUAAUAAAAUGAAACUAAACUUCAGUCUCUCAUUAAUUAGGUUUUUGUUCUAAGAUGAGUUUUAUUCUUGUAUACAUUUUUUUUUUUUGCUUAUUUUUCAUUCAUAAUUUAUUGGUUAAACAUAUAAUUGUUCUUCUUUUAUUAGAUUAUAAAAAAAUAGUUUUGACUUGAGUUGGUAAUGAUUUAUAUAUGGAUUUAGGAAGUGUUUAAACAAUUAAUCCUUUGUGCAAGAGAUUGAGGCGAAAUUAAGCCAACUGGGGGACUGGCAAAUGAGUUAAUUAAAAAUUCUACUUUGAUCAUUACAUUUUGCAAUUAAAAAUUACGAUUGUAAUUUGAAAUUUGCUAAAAAAUGUAAAAUUGUGAUUUAAUAGUGUAAAAUGUAUAGCAUUGGUGAAAGUGCUGUGAGAAGAUUAAUUUAAUAAAAUGGACAUAUUGCUAAAAUAGUAAAAUAAAAUUCAUUUGAUUUAAAUAAGUGGAUAUUUAUAUUUUUAAUGCAAUAAAAAUCAUGUUCAAUCGCAAAACAGUCGGUUCUUACAUUGCUUUAGCAAACCACUGAAGUUAUAAUUCUUUUAUCACAAUUAUUACAGUGAUCGACAUUAUAAUUAUAAUGAAAUUCAAUAAUUAUAAAUAAAAUGUAUCUAUAACUGUGAACGAAACUAGCUUUUAAGCCAUUCACAUAAUCAUUUUUGGACAAAAUAUGUGAUUCAAAUAAGCUAUUGAAAAAAAAAAGUUAAAUAUUGAAUAUAUGAGAGCGUCCAUAUAAAUAUAUAUUGAACAAUACAUGGAAUAAAAAAUUUAAAGAUAAAUAAAAUUUUAAAUUUAUAUAUUUAUUUAUAUUUAUGUCGUUGAUUUGUUAUCUUAUAUCUUGGCUCCACGAUACACUUGAAAAGGGCCUUACCCCUCAUCUCAUAUGUCUUAUAAGCUUGUUCAGAUUCGUUAGAUCCUUAGCGUCGGCCUUGAUCACCAUUUGGUUCUAAUUAGCUCUAAUUAAAAGGAUAGUUUGAUGCAAUUUACAACUUUGCAUCUUAAUACCAUUUCUAAUGGAACUUUUCAAUCUUUUAUAAUUGGAGAACAAGUGAAAAUAAAAAAAUAAAAAUAAAAAAGAGUGAGGAGAAUUAAAGAAAGAAAAACUAGAAAGGAAACUAAACUCGGUAGCUAUUGAAAUAUGAGUUUCAAUACUCAAUAACUAAUACAUUAUCUUUGAAAAAUAGCAAGUUAAUGCCUUUUUUAGGUUUAUGAUAAAUGAUCAGUUAUUGAUGGCUUAGGAAGGAUAAAGUUAAUAAACAUGAAUUAUUGAAAAAUCAUUGAUUUUAUAUAUUCAAAGUUACCAAAAAGCAUGACUUGUAGAAGCAUGCAUCCCUAACACUAUUCAAAGAAAUGUAUUGGAAUUUUUUUAACUAAAAAGGCCUAUUGGCUCAAUUGGUUAGAGCGCCGUGCUAAUAACGCGAAGGUUGCAAGUUCAUACCUGCAUGGGCCAAUUUUUUAAUCCUUAUUGGAAAAAAUUUUAUGCUAUAUGUGUGUGUUAAAUGUUGAAUAUUUUCAAUCUUUUAUCAAGAGUAAGGAUGAAAUUAUACCGUUGUAAAACUUUUUUCUUUUAUAACUUCUUAUAGCUUCAUAAUCUUAAAAAAAAAAACUUCUUAUAGCUUCAUAUGUAAUUAAUAUUUUAUUGAAUUGACCGUUAGAUUAAACAACUACUCAUAUUCAUCAAUGCAUAUAAAAUUUUGAAUCACCAUAUUUAACAAUAAAACUUUAUUAUCUCAAAUAAUUAAUUAGACAAUAUAACUUGAAAUUUGGUGGUCAUGAUCUACUUGAAUAAAGUAUGAACUCCAAUGAUUGAAUUUACUAAAUAUAAAUAGUAUAAAAAAUACUAAAGAGUGUGAGUGAAUCUCUCCUCCCUUAUCAUAUAUUACCUAAACUUUGCCUUGAAAUAAUUCACCACCAUCACUCUUGCCCAUUAUGUCAAAUUAUGGUUUUUAACUCUCAAGUAUACAGAUUAAAAUUAAAUACACUACAUGGUUUUAGAUGUUUAAAAAACCAAAAAAGUACUUUUAAAAGCUUUUGAAAAUACGAAAUUUAAAAAAAAUUACUUUUUAAAAUUAAUUCAAUUAUUUCUUGAUUACUCAUUCAAUAAGAUUUCUCACAUUAUAAUCCUAGGAGGUUUUGCAUAUUAUCAAUUAAUAUAACACACUAAGAAAACACAUUAAAUUUCACGAAAACAUAAAACUCAACAUGUUAUCAUUCGAUCCUCUUCUAAAUUAAAUAUCCACCUUUCGUUUUUGAGUUGUCUUAAAAUUAUAUGUAUUUUCUUCUUUAAAUACCAACAAUUUUUUUCUAUGUUUUAUAUUCAUUUAUAUAUAUAUUAAUUUUUGGCAUUAAAAAUUAUAUUUAAUCAAUGUUAUAAAAAAUUGUUAAUCAAAAAAUAGAUCAAAGGCCUUACAAUCAAAAUAUUUUUCAAAAAUUCAAUUUGAAGUAGAUGGAAUAUAAAAUUAAUUUUGUAAUACUCUUUUAGCAAUAACGAAGCAUGGCACUUUAGCAUUUGACUUAUUGAUUAACACAUAAUUUCUUUAUUCAAUACGUAAAAUUCGAAUCCCCUUUCACAAAAAAAAAAUAAUGAAACAUGAGUAUUUACAUUAUAUUUAACAUGGUAGUUUUAAGAGGUAUACUUUGACAUUUAUUUUUUUAUUCAUAUAAAUAAAUUUUUUUAAUUUUUCAAUAUAUUUUCACUUGUACGUCUUAAUUUUAAAUGUUGUUUUGUUUUUUUAUUUAUUGUGGAAAAAUAGAAAAUUACAUCAUUUUAGACCAACAAACUCCUAAAUUUUUUAUGUUAUUUUAUUGUUUUACAAUAAUUUCUUAGAAAUGAAAGCAAAACCUAAGAGCUUAAGUAGUUAUGAAAGAAAGUUUAUCUUGCUGUAAAUUAAAAGUAUGAUUUAUUUUAUUUUAUUUCUUUUUCCAAUAGUAAAUCACAUUUUUAAAAUUUAGGAAAAAAAAAGCAAAUUCAUUCAAUAAUUACAUUUUUUUUAUAUGUUAGAGAAGGCAAAUAUUUUUCUUAUAAUACAUCUGAACAUUGGAUUCAAUUAUAAGUAUUAAUUAGUAUCUUUUUAUUGGCAUAAUCGAAUUCAAAUCCUUCCUUGUAUAAUGAUUAUGCUGUUGGUAUUGGAUCAACUAUCUAUAAAUAGAAAUGAAAAAUUAAGAAAGAUGACAAAUCCAAUUUUAGGACAACACACAUUAAAAUGAUAAAUUAAUAGAUUAUGAAAUUACAAAAAUAACCUCCUCCAGGACAAAAACUCCAACUGCUUAAUAAUUUAUUAUUUAUUAUUAUAAUAUAAUUGUAACAAUAAUACUUUUAGCAGGCUUUGUUUAUGAUAUAUUUUUCUGGUGGAAGCUUUGGCAAUGAUUUUCCAUUCAUAUAUUUUCAUGUAUUGCUGUCUCUUUCUCCUAACCACCUCUCCGAUCUCCUUCUCUUCACAGCCCACUUAUCUCUCCCAUUCCUUUCCAUUGAAGCAUUCUGUCAAUUCUCUCUUCUCCUUUCUGAUUCAUUUCAAUGUUAUAUUUCUCUCUAACUCUGCCUUCAUCCACCAGCUAAGUACGAUCUUUUUUUUUUCUCAUUUAAUUCAUCCGAAUUAUUUGAUUUCUCUGUUCUUUUUGCAUCUGGGUUUGUUUUUCUUGAGAUUUGGCAAAAACCCAUUUUGUUUAUUUGGUCGUUGAUGCCAAAUGAGUUGUUAUAAAGAUGAUAGCUUUCAGCUUGAAUUUCUGGAAAAGCUGUAAUUUGAGCAUUGGAUAUGUUUAGAUAUGCUCGUUUCGUUUUGCUUCUAUAUAAUGUUGUUGCUCUACUUUGAAACUCUUAUAUUUCUGUGAGCUGAAUGUGGGGCAUUUAUUUGAACUGACGGUGAAAUUUUGUUAAUGGAUAGUGUGGUACUUAUAUUGGAUCAAUUAUAUAACGUGUUUAAAGUUGUUUAUAGAUAAAUGGGUUAUUGAAGAUCUUAAAGUUAUAAUCUUUUCAUUGUGGGUUGCUGUUUUUGUUGGAAGUUUGUUGAAUGUUGGUGGUAGGAGAUGGUAGAAAAAAAAUAGUUUCAUGAAUGUUAGUUGGAAUAUAUUGGCAUUAUGAAUUGAUUGAGAUGGUGAAUAAUUUUAGUCGGAGUACAUCAUUCAACCGAAGGGCGUUGAAUGUUGAUAGCCCGAGAUUUUUGAGUAUUGCAAGCCCCAGAGCCUUGAAUCUUCUUAGCCCUAAACCACUGGGUUUUGCUAGUCCUAGAGUUCAUCAUAGGUUGGGCUGGGUCUCACGCUUGUUUCCUGUGCUUAUUCUCAUUGGGGCUUUGAUUUCAUUUUUUAUAGUAAUUGGUGGAGGUUAUAUGUAUGUUCUCCCUAGUCUCAGUCAAGCAUUUCUUGGGUAUAGUGUGUCAAAAUUCAAUGAAUCGAGCGAUGUUUGUGAUAUUUUUGAUGGAAGCUGGGUUAUAGAUGAUAGUUACCCAUUAUACAAUGCUUCUGAAUGUCCAUAUGCUGAACAAGGAUUCAAUUGCUUGGGAAAUGGCAGGAAAGAUAAAGAUUAUCUUAAAUGGAGGUGGAAACCAAAAAAUUGUGAUAUCCCAAGGUUCAAUGUGCAAAAUGUUCUGGAAAUGCUUCGAGAUAAAAGGAUUGUUUUUGUUGGAGAUUCUAUGAGUAGAACACAGUGGGAAUCAUUGAUAUGCUUGCUCAUAACUGGAGUGGAAGAUAAGAAGAGUGUUUAUGAAGUUAAUGGGAAUAAGAUAACUAAACGGAUCAGGUUUUUAGGUGUGCGGUUUAGUUCCUUCAAUUUUACCAUUGAGUUCUUUCGCUCAGUUUUCUUGGUGCAACAUGGUUGGAUGCCUAGACAUGCUCCAAAGCGGGUUAGGUCAACCCUUAAGUUGGACAAGUUGGAUGAUAUUAGCAAUGAGUGGAUUAAUGCAGAUGUUCUCGUAUUCAACACGGGACAAUGGUGGGUACCAGGGAAGCUCUUUGAAACGUAAGUUGCCCUCAGUCUGUCUGUAAAUUUACAUGAUGACAUAUGGUUAAUUUCUUGUUAUUUCAAAAAGCAAUAUCUUCAAUUUGAGAGUUCUCAUGAAUGACUUUGAUGGCAUGUCAAAAGCGAUGCUCUAGACUCUCUUCCAAUGUCACUUUCUGUGCUUAUAAAUAUUUAUGUGUCAAUGAUGCUCUUUAUAUCUGGGGUUAUGCUUUUUUUCCAUCUUUCAAAGUCCAUAUGCUUAAAUGAAUGUCACUUAUUGAAUCUUAAAGAAAAGUUUCUAUCUCCCCCCUCUUCUUUCCCCCUUCCCUUUUUUUUUUUUGAUUGAUGGUUAGGGGAAAAUCUAGCAGUUGCAGCAACAUGUUAAUGGUUUACUUAUGUAGUUGUAUUAUACAUCCUCUUGUUGUUUUCUACGUAUUGCAUAACAUUUACUGUAUCAUGACCUUUGUGAGAAUUUUGACUGUGAAGGAUCCCUUGCUGCUGGAAUACUUACGCUGUUGUACUUGACAAUUGGGCAAAUUAUAGAACCCACGAUCUUUCUUUCCAAGUAGGGGUCAUUCUAGUGUUCACUUCUAGGAGAUACAAUGAGUUGGGACUUGUCCACAUUCAUUAAUAGUAUCUAUCUAGUUUUGUAGGUUACAAUGAUUCAGUCAUUUGGUUCUGUUUCUUUGGGCUACAAUGUGAAGAAUUUGAAACUAAACUUUUAUGAUACUUAAGGAAAAUGUACAUGAAUUCAUUUUUGUGCUUCUGUUUUAAUUUGGAUCCCUACUACUCUUGAGCUUGCAACUUCUGCCAUUUUGGAGGUUGCAAAGCAAAACACUUAUUCCUGGACAAGUAGAUUACCAUUCUUCAAUCAACAUAUACACUUCAAAUGCCAUGAGAGAAUGCUGAUAGGAAACUAAAAAAAUAUUUCCCGAUUACAUUCAUAUAAUAUUAUUCUUACAUUUUUCCCUCCUGCAGCUUGUUUAAAUAAAGGUUUCUCUUUUUUACCCUGUCCUGUAGUUUAGCUUAAGUUUAUUUUAAAAGAAUGAUGCUUUACCUGUAUAUGAACUCCUUGAUCAAUAAUAACAUCAACAUAUAAUUUUGAAAACCUCAAAGUCGGCAUCAGUUAUUAUUCCUAGGUUGCUCAAAGAAGAUAAAAGUAAAUUUGAAAAAUUAAAUGAUUAGUUAAACUGGUGCCCGAAAUCAACAAAAUUGUCUAAAUUGAAAGAGAAUCCAGGUGACAUCUCACUGGCCUUUAUUGUAUUCUAAUGCUUAGUUUUAUGCUGGAUCCUCAAAUGUGCUUUUUUGACCACAUAGUAAUCAAUGAACUUAGUCUACAGUAUAAGCAAGACCAGCUUUGUCUCUAAUUAAAAAUGACAUUUAGCUUGGAAACACUUUCUGGAUGCUUUUAUUUACACAUUUAUGAAAUGCUCCUAAAUUCUUUCUUUGGCAGCGGUUGCUACUUUCAGGUUGAAAAUUCAGUAAAGCUUGGAAUGUCAAUUCCUACCGCAUUCAGAACAGCACUAGGUACUUGGGCAUCAUGGGUUGAGAAUAUGAUUGACGCAAACAGAACACUUGUCUUUUUCCGGACUUUCGAGCCAUCUCACUGGAGGUAAUCAACAAUACCAUGAUGCUAUUUCUUUUAUUUUUCUUUGAUCAAGUACAAUUUUUGUGGAAGAGGGAUUUGAACCCAACUCUUUAAGCAGAGGAAUAUAACACUCAGCUGCACCAUUAUGCUCUUUCAAAACAUAUUACUCAAAAUGAAGUUCUUUUAGGUGCUGAAUUAAAUAUGUUAUGUUACCUUAUUUUUAACUGCUGUCCUGUCACUGGACAAACAAAAAACAACUGUCCUGUCUGUUCUUCUCGGUGUGAAUGCCAUAUGAGUUGUUCUCUCUCUCUCUCUCUCUCUCUCUCUCUCUCUCUCUCUCUCUCACAAACAGAUAUUGUGUUGCAGCUUUUUCUCUGUUUCAGCAAACAACCCUGAAUUGGCAUAUAUGUACAAUUUGAACAGUUUCAGAUCUUCACAUCUAUUUCAUAGUUUUGUAAAUUAUUCUUCUCUUAAAAGGUUUUGAAGUUGGGUCUGUUUCUAGCUGGUUCCUGUUGCAGUCAACCAUCAUUUAUUGGACUAAUUUUGUCCUACCAUUUAUUUAUAUAUAAUUAAUUACAUUAUUUGCUUGUCUGCUUAAUUUCAAAAUCAUAUACGUUUGCCAUUUUAUAAAUAAUUAAUAUUUUUUUUAUUUCUGCAUCAGUGAAAAAUCGCGUCGGUUUUGCAAUGUGACCCAGAAUCCAUUAUCAGAAACUGAAGGGAGGGAUCAAAGCAUUUUCUCAGAGACUAUUUUCAAAGUGAUAAAGAAUAUGACUGUUCCUAUAACUGUUCUGCAUGUAACUUCCAUGUCGGCUUUCCGAAGAGAUGCACACGUGGGCAGGUGGAGUGACAAUCCAUCUGUGCCUGAUUGUAGCCACUGGUGUCUUCCUGGCGUACCUGAUGUCUGGAAUGAAAUUUUCCUCUCAUACCUGCUUGCUGCUUAUGAAUUUCCUGCAGUUUAUAAAGAAUAGUGAGUUCAUUUCCUUUCUGAUUUCACUUAUUUCCGGUUGUUACAGUUAUAAUUUAUACACUGCUCAAUUUGAUCUUCAUGCCCUAGGAUGAAUUUUUGUCUUUUUGAUGCUUUUAUUCGUUGUCCUUGCUUCUGAAAAUCCAUUCCAUCUCCAAUAGCCGCACAGUUCAGAAGGAAAACUUCUGUAGUUUUUCAGAUGGUAACCACAUUUUGAGUGAGUUCUCUGUGAUUGAUGCAGAUUGGAUUAGCAAGCACGAUGAUUGAACCCUGGUCUGCAUGCAGCUCUUCUCAGAACUCGAAAUUAACAUGGAUUGAAAUUCACCUCGCAUUAAGACCUAUAAUCCUCCGGGAACCAGUAUGACAAGUCUGCAAUUCUUGACAAAGCACUCAAUUUUUUAUAGAGAAAAAUGUAGAGUUACACGGAUAAAGGAACGUGUAAGAGAAACUAAUUUUUUCAUUCUUUCUUGCCCUUUUCUUACCUUUUACAUGUGAGAAGCGGCCAAAAUUGGGUAUUCAAAUGUAACAAAUUUGUCCAUGUCCUGUUCAAAUAUUAAAAUUUUGAUGAUUCACCACAUUAAGAGAUAUAUUUGUUGUUGUUGUACUUGCCAUUACUGUUCUUUUUAAGACAUAUAUAUAUAUAUAUAUAUAUAUAUAUAUAUAUAUAAUGUUGCGAAGGUCAGAUUAAACACUAAACAUAUUUUUUUCCCUCUAUCCUGUGGCCAGAUGAUAAUAUAUUCACUGCAAAUCCAAGCCUGCAAUUGAAAUGAAACAAUGUCAGAGCUUAUCCAAAACAUGAUGGUAUAGUUUCAAGACUAGUUCAAUUUCCACUUAAAUCACCACAACGUUAGUUUUUUUUUUCUCCAUCAUAAUAGUUCAUCAUCAAACUCAGACAUGUGAAUGAUGGUACCAGGUAAAACCUCAAAACUUAGGUAUUUAAUUUGCUGUAAAUUGAAGAAAGGUUCAAGAAUUCUUGAGGGACAAAUAGACAAUGAACUUGCAGAUUAAAAAUUAUUAUGUAAAUGUCAUUGGUUAUUUAAUAUAAUGUUAAAGUGCAUGUAUCUCUUAUUCAAAAAAUCAAGUUUGAAAUUUUCUUUUUUAAAAGAUUAUGUUUGAUCAAGAAAGAAUGAACAAGUUCAUUGCUCGGUAGAUGCAAUGCCAAAAUUCUGAAUUUUGAUGAUCACGGAUCCUUUGGCUGGUUCUAUAGCCUCAGGUGCCAUCCCGAUGAAGUCAUUUUCAGAAGAUUGCAAAUCAUGACCAUUUGGUCAAUGGUGAAAGUAACACAGAAAUCAACCUCACAAUACAUCAUGAAAUGAAUAGGGAAAAGCUCUGAUGCAAAAUCAAUAAUCCAUAUACAAGAAGUGUUUUUUAAUGCAAUCAAUGACAAGGCAACAACAUUCUUAGCAUGACAGUCAAGUAACUAAAACCGUAGAAGUAUGCAAAACCACUCAUAUAAGCACGAGGCAGCAACACUACAAUUAGCAUCUAUAUAUGCCCUUCUUCCAUCUCAGACUAGUACCAUCACAAGAAAGUCUUCCGCAAUCACCACUUCUCACAUUCUCACAUAGAAAUGGCUUCUAUUACCAACAUGUACUUCCCAUAUUUCCCUCUGCCACCACCCCAUGGUCCUCCAUCACCUCCAAAAAUGCCACCACCUCAUAACCAUCCUUCCCCUCCAAGGCCAACACCGCCUUAUAAACCUCCGACUCCUCCAAAAGUGUCACCACCUCAUUUUACUCCAGCCCCUCCAAAAGUUGCACCACCCCAUUAUAUUCCAACCCCUCCCAAAGUGCAACCACCUCCUAGUGCCCCAUUCUCCCCCAAAGUACCACCAUCUCCCAACGUCCCGUCCCCUUCAAAACCGAAAGUCCCUCCGCCGGCACCACAUAAUCCCAUUACACCACCACAACCACAUCCAGUUCCAGCACCACCCCAUUAUAUUCCAACCCCUCCCAAAGUGCAACCACCUCCUAAUGCCCCAUUCUCCCCAAAAGUACCACCGUCUCCCACAGUCCCGUCCCCUUCAAAACCAAAAGUCCCUCCACCGGCACCACAUAAUCCCAUUACACCACCACAACCACAUCCAGUUCCAGCACCACCCCCACAUCAUCCAUUCUAUCCGUCACCACCUGCAGCAAAACCACCUCCCCAUUCCCUUCCACCUCCCUCUCCUAUUGUGACACCACCACCUCAUAUGAUUCCACCUCCACCACCACCAGCCCCCGGACAUCAUUCAACUGUAACAAUCGUUGUCUUUGUUUCUCUUGGCGGUCUAUUCUUCCUUGCAUUCCUCUCAGUUGCUCUAUGCUGCUUCAUUAAAAAGAGAAAGAAGAAAAUGGUUGAGAAAACAGAAAUAAUAAGUAUAGAUGAACAUGUCAAAGUCCAGGAAGCCAUUAUGCCAGGCCCUCAUGGUGAACAAAACGCUGUAUUGCUCAUAGAAGAGGAUGUUCAUAUUGAAGAAGAAAUCAAGAAAAGCAAAAGGAUCAGUGAAGGAUCACAUCUUAAAUCUUCACAAGAAAUUUCUCAAGCUGCCGAUAUGGCAGCAGAUUCUCCUGGCCCCAGUCAUCAUCACCUUCUUGAGCAUAAGGCUGAUUGAGUGGUGAAAAUGAACGGCAUCAGCAGCAAACUAAGAGGUGGUUAUGCUUCAUACAAUAAUCCUGCUCUGUUAAGACAUGGAACAUUUUUAUUCUUCCCUUAUUCCUUUGUCAAAAGUGUUUCUGAAGGAAUAAAAAGCUACUAAUACUUGUUUUGCUCCUUAAUUUAUAUGAAAAAUCACAAGCAAAGCACAUACAAAAGAAUUACAGUACUAAAAAAGGUUUGCUUUUUCUAUUAUUAUGGUACACUGGAGUAUGCUUGUCAUUGACGAGGAGUACAGGCUCACUGCCAUUAGGAGAUGAGAUACCUUCUUUCUUUGUUUCAUUUCAGUAUUCAACGUCUAUGGAACAUCAUGCUUGAAACAUUUAAGGAUUGAAUCUAUCAAGGCCUUUUUCGAAGCUUGAAUAUUCUUGGAAGUUCAUGACAUUUCCCAAGCAUUGAUCAAGAUAGCUCAUGGAGAGUAGUCAUCAUCAAGUGUCUCUCUUUAAGUGGUCAUUAUCUAUUAUAUAUGGUGCAAAAUUGGAUUAUGCAUGCAUGCAUGCAUACAUACAUACAUACAUAUAUAUAUAUAUAUGUAUGUAUCAUGAUGGAAUACAAAAUAUGCAAACUUAAAAGUUUUUAAAUAAAGAGAUAAAAAAAUUAAAUCAGGUGAUCAUUAUUAUUAUUGUUAACCCACUACUUUAUUGAAUUUUACUAAAACUAUAAAAUUUAUAUUGAUCAUUUCAAUAAAAAUGGUUUUUGGGAAACCAUUGUAUAAUUAUCGUUGCUUUGCAUGGUCAGAUUUACAAUCAUAAGAGUUAUUUUUUUUUAUUCAUAAUUUGGUUCAAUAGUAACUAUAUAUAUAUAUAUAUAUAUAUCAAUUCAAUUAAAAAUUCUUUCUUAAAUCAUUAAUUAAUGAAGAUAUAAACCCUCAUCAGUUUUUAACAAAGAUUAAGUCAUAUACAAUUAAUAAAAAGCAUUCUACAAUUUUUUUUUUCAAUAAUGAUGAAUUUACUUGAAACAAAGUUCAACAGUAGUUAAUAAGUAUAAUAUGGAUGCCAUGUAUCAUUUCUAUUCAACAAAAUAUUUUAACUUAUUUUUUUUAUUUUCCAUACAAAGGAAUAGUACCACAGCAUAAAUCAAGAAUCUCUAGUCAUGCCAAAUUUCUACUUUUCUAGGCCUAAUCUAUAUCAAGGUUUUGAAUUAUUUUUCCAUAAAUGUGCAUCUCCCAAUCAUCUUUGAGUUGAAUUAUAUUGAUAAAAUAAAAGAUAAAUUUGUAAGUUUCACAUCCCAAUUAGUUAGUUUCUACAAAUUAAUGAUUCAGAUGGAUAAUUAAUUAAGUUGGUGGCUCAUGCAACUCAACUUCCUUUCAACUUCAUGCUACUCUUUCCUUCAAUUUGUGUUCUUAAAUAAAACCAAUUAUUCCUAUGAUCAAAGCAUAUGUUAAAGGUCGACAAAAAUGCACGUAGUUGGCCAACCUAAGCAUAUGAUAUUAACUUACCCAACAUAUUACUCACUGUGCCAUUCAUCUUUGUCCCAUUUCUUUGUUCUUUUUUGUUUUUUUUUUCUCUUCCUUUAUUUUAUAUUGCUUUCUCUGAUAAUAUUUUUUGGAAAUUAAGCUUUCAAAGGAAAAAAAUUGUGUCCCAAAUCAGCUCAUUAAAAAAUGAAAACAAAAAAACUUAAAACUAUCUUGUUUCAUUGUUUGUCUCUCUUGCUUCAAUAUGUUUGUUCCCUGCAUGUAUAGGACAAUGGGAUUUAUAUAAGAAUCAUCUUAAAGAAAAUUUAUAUAUAAGAAUUUAAGUAUACAUGUUGUUUGUUACUUCAAUUUACUUAAUAAGAAAAAGGAAAAAGGAAAGAUAAAUCUCAAAGUCUGUUAUUAUACGUACAGUGUCCUUCACAACUUUUUUAUUUUUUGUAAAUUAAGAUUAAAGGAAAUAUUAAAUGUUAGAAGAGAUUCCCUCAAUUGCACAAUUUUAAAAGAUAAGAUAUAUAUAUAUAUAUAGAAGAGAAUAAUCAAACAUCAUAUAUAUAACUUUGGAUGGAUUUGCCAAUAUUGACUUGUAGCUAGUACUGUAUAUAUACUAAUCAAAAUUAUGCAUUGGGAAGAACAAAAAAAUUAGCAUGGGUGGAAGCACAAGCAUGAAUUAGCUUGACAUAAUCCAUUUGCCUUAUCUCCAUAUUUUUGUAGGCACAAAUUGAGGCAGCUUGAAUCUGCACAACCUGGUAAAUCUUCUGGUGUAGCACAUACUCGCCCUUCAUUUUGCCCCAUUACCUCAUAUCCUGUAUGCAUUAUAACAUGGAAUAAUAUUCUGCUUAAAUGGUCAUUAAUAUUAAUUUUGAAAUUCAAAAUUUAGUCAAUAUAUUAUUCAAUAAACAUAUGAAUAAAAUGAAAAAGAAAUGGAAUUUAGAACUUGAGAAUCAAAUGCUAUCAAAACAGAAAUUAGAGUUGAAUAUUAAUUAUUGUCAAUGCUACAUAUACAAUUGAAAAUUAUCAUCAUUCAAGUGGAUUGAUAAGCUAAGUAAAGCAUAAUUAUUUGCUUGAUGGAAGCUUAAAAAUGGAGAAAAUAUGAUGAUGAAAUGGCUUACCAGGAGAUAAGAGAAUAAAUAGCAUAAAGAUAACAAAAACGUGUUGGCUCUUCAUUGCUUUCUCAACUCUUUGUGCAGCUAAAAGGCAAUACUAUGAAUCAUAAGGCAAUGAAAAUUGCAAUAUUUAUAAGCAAAUAACGUAAUAAGUUAGGCAACAAGUAGGAGAAUGGCAAUCUUUAUCUCUUCAAGUUAUGGGUUGUCAAGAAAGAAAUGCAGCCUACCAAUCAACUGUUUAGUAUUAUUAUUUUAGCUGAAGUCUUAACCAAUCUUUAUAAAUGUGAUGGGAUGUUUGCAGAUUUCGUAAGUUAAAGUCACAUACACAUAUCUACCAAUUUUAAUUUUCUAACUUAGAGUUAAAUCUACUUGUUAUGAAAAUGUAUAUUAAUAUAGUUUUUUAGUUUAUUGAUUUUUUAAUGAGGUAGUAAGAUCUCAAACAAUGGGGCAUGAACUUGAAGAAGAGAAAGGAUCCUAGGAAACCAGUACUUCACCUAAGCAAAUGCCUAAUGUCUAAACAUUUCUCAAUAGUUUGACGAUUCAAGCAAAAUUCUUCACAUACAAAUCGUUAAAAAAGCAUCAAUCUGCCGCUAUCAUGAUCAGAGUUGAAGGCUGCUGUACAAUCUGCUUGUUAUCUCACUUGGAUUGCUUACAGGGGAAAAGGUUAACGAUGUACUGCAAUUCGUCACGAGCAUACAUAGAUUGCAUUAAUUUUCUGUAUACCAUACACGAUACAUCAAAUGGCUGAUAACUAAUUCAGCCCCAUGCAGAUAGAAACCUUGGCGUAUUAUCAACUACAAAAAUUUUACAGAAGAUAGCACGACAGUAUCAUGGAUCGAUUGCCAUUGGAGUAAUACGCCUCUUGGCUGGCUUAUUUGAGAUGGGAGCAUUCACCGUGCUCGGUGUUGCCUGUUUCCCUUCUCUCCUUUCAGUACAUUCUGCCUUUCUGUUUUCUGCUGUAAUUGAAUCAUCAUCUUUAGCAGUUUCAAUCACCAUGUCAUCAGGUUUCUGGACGACGGGGCUCUGUUUGUCGACAUUCAUAGGUUCUAGAAAAAAACUUUGUUAGAAGUGAUUAAAGGCCAAAUGUAUAGAAACUUAAUGGACAAACAUUAGCAUAUAAAUGGAUAAACAACAAACCUAAUGAAGAACUGGGUUGUCCCAAUUCGUCCUUCUCAAAUUCUACCAAAGUACAAUAACCAUCUUGAGAUGACAAUGCUAAAUAACGAGCAUCAAAUGACCUUUCAACAACAAAAAUAGUAGCCACUUAGAACUCCGAAUGAUAAAACUCAAUCAAAAAAUGAUAGCCAUUAAACUAGGAGCAUAUCUUCUUGGGAAGUCAUAAUAUUUACCAUGAAAUGUCAGUUAUGGCUGCAUAGUGAAGACCAGCCAAAAUUGCAAUUGGAGGAACACUCUCUGUAUCGUAAAUGUACAAUGAAUUCAAAGUUGCAACUGCAAAAAUGAGGCGAUAAGGAAGCUUGAAAAAGCCGGCUGCAAAGUCAGAAAGGAAAGUCAAAUUACCAUUAAAAUUCAUGGUAGACUCCAUAACAAUAAAGCCUUAUCAGCCAAAGGUACCUGGGUUUGACCCCCGAAGGUUGAAAGCUACAGGGCAGAAACGAACUGCGACAACUGGUUUGCUAGCACCAGGGAGCUGCAAAGAAGGUCUGCCACCCAGAAAAAUAACAAACGCUAAUGUAUAUAAAAAUUCGGUCCAAACAAUUUAGGUUACAAAAUUCUUACAAUAAUAAAAUAUUGUAACUAAUUAUGCAUUAAGAUAUGAUAGAUGUCAGGCCUCCAUGGUAAUACAUAAUAGAGUAACUGUCUUUACCUUGACAGGUCCUUUCUGGAAAAGACAUAAGUAGUGUUUACUGUUUCAGAUGAAGCUGGAAUUUUGUAAAAACCUGCAAUGCAAGAAUGUCAAACAAAAUGCACUGCUAUCAAUGGAACCAAUGCAGCAAGUCCAUGCUCUUUAAAAGAUGUGAGGAACUACAGUUAAAUUCUGUAAGUGAAUUGGUUCAGAACUAUUAAGGAUGGAAAUUCAAGUUACUGCCCACAAAUGAUGACAGGAGAGAAGGUGUGUGAAAAGUCAAAAUAUUUAACCAGAGUGAAAGUAUUAAACUAUAUUGAUAACUAUUUAAUCGAACUGGACAUGCAGUUAGGUCAAUACCUGCUGGCACUAGUAAAAACGAACCAUCAGGUGACCAGGCUAAUCGACGGAAGAAUGACGGCAGUGUUUCGUCAUGAAAGAGAUGGUAUUUUACAGACUGUAUCUCAAACCAUCUGUGAGGUUAGUUAUAAGUGACAAAUCCAUGUAGAAUACAAAAAGAAACAAAGAAGAUACUUUCUAACCUUAGCAUCAUCUAUUGGUUGCUGUUCUGCCUUGACAAUCGUAUGCUGACAAAUAUAAUUCAACUUCUCAACACCCUUUGCUUUGGCUUGAGGCUUAUUGACAUAAAUUCGGCAAGUCCUAUCUGAACUGAGAGAAGCAACAUACUUGGACAAGGGAUCCCAGGCAACACCUUGAACAUAAUGGAAAUGGCCAUCCAAUAUCUGAUGGACGGAACCUGAAGAUGAUAAAAAAUGAUAAUCAUCAUGAUGAUAAAAGAGUAACAAAGCAUUUUUAUCGACAUCUUGAUUCCUGCAUAUCCUCCUUUUUACCUUUGUUAACAUCCCAUAUGAUGCAAGAAUUGUCAACUGAUCCAGAGAUGAGAAAUGCACCAUCGCUUGACCAUUGCAAGUCCAGAACAUCUUUACGGUGAAAUCUUGCCAAGAAGAAACCCAGUCAUGAGCACAGAACUCACCCCUAACAAAAUUAGACCCUAAAAAGGCUUCUAAGUGGAAAAUUUACAUCAAUAUAAGCUAUCUAAUAGGUGAAGGAAAAGACAAACCCCUCAGGUUGAAUCCAAAUUUAGAGGGAAUUAGCUUAGACCUCUGGUCCCUACCAGCUUUGCAAUUGCCUUUUAUAGGUAUGCUUUUAUGUUGAUAUAGUCUAUUUCGUCACAUUGCAUUUUCUUGUUCUUUUUCAGAGUAUAAUCAAUUUGAUAGAAUCAUCUCUGAACCACAACAAUUCACUAAGAUUCAACCUAACACUUACUAAUUAAAUGAUAAAAAAGAAUGGUUUUAAUCAAGGGAACUUUCAUCCUACUAAGAUUUCACACAAGCACCAAAAUGAAAAAUCAGUUUGUAAGAAAUGGCUAUCUCGUAGAAGCUCUGCAAUGCAUUCAGACUAAGGGCCUUACGACAAACUCUUGAAAACUUUCCAACUUUGACCAGUUUCUGUAGUGUGCAAUUUCCAUAUGAUCAGCUCACCUCCUGUCACAUAGAAAACCCUUUCUUCAGAAUCUUCUGCCACUGCCGUACUUUUUCACUAAAGAACUUUAAAAACAGACUUAUCAUAUGAUGGAAAAGCAAAGAGAUAUCAGCGAUAAAGCCAUACCAUCAGCACCAGAGGCAAGUUGUUCUCCUGCACAAUACAAAAAGAGCAAAGAUUAUCUCAGCCAUCAAAUAGAAUUACAAUUUUAGAUAGCAUAAAAAAAUUAUCUUAGAUAAACAAACAGCUACAAAGCAUAAAUUUAUGAAAACUGGGAACAGCAUUUAUUUUAAAAGUUACAAACAGAGUGCAGCCACAAGAAGACAUUUGAAAAUUGAACUCGAGCUCAAUUCGACCGUUAAUAAACAAGAACAAUUUAAUUAACAGCAGACUUUGAGAAAAGAUGAAGAUUUUGAAAUUCGGAGUGUUACACUAAUAGUUCUUACAUUCGAUAUGAAUACACAACUCAAGUGAUUUAUAUGCAAUCCACCUAAACACGUAUAAUCAUUGGAAUUUCUAUUUAUGAUAAAGUUAUCAGCUCAAAGGAAGGGUUUUAGCGUUUUACCAGAUGGUGAGAAGCGAAGGGCAUUAACUGCGGAGCCAUGGUAAGAGAGACUAUUUUGAUAUGAAGCAGUUGGGAUUUUCUUCUGCACUUCGUCUGAAUUAAUAAACCAUAGCUGAAAAGUUCAAUAAAGAGAAAAACAGUAAUCUAAUUAGCCUGGCUUGACUCUCGAUUACCAAAGUUAAUUUUAUUUUAAACCGCAAUCCCUUGCCUAAGUUAUGGAUUAACACAGCAUUUUGAUUUAGCAAAAUAGCAAAGUUCCAGAUUGUACAGAAAAUUUUAAAAAAUUUAAGAAAUAAAAGCGAUUUUAAAUCAAAAAAUAAAAGAAAUGGAACGAAUGGAUCUAUUAAAAUGAAAUAAGAAAUAAAUAAAUGUUAAAAUAAAAAAAGAGGCUCCAUUUAAAAGGAACAAAAAAAAACCUUGAUGUCAAAAUCAGCGCCGCCGGUGGCCAGAAGACCGGAGAUGGGGUGGAAAUCUAGGGUCAGAACGGGUUUGGUGUCGUGCCAAUUUAUCUGAACCGUGCCCCCUUUCAUUUUUUUAGCUUUUGUUUUCCUAGGGUUAGGUUGGGAGAGUGGAGAGUAAAGAAGAAGAAGAGGGGAUGUACUGGCGCCCUGCUUUGAUUUGGCGGGAAAUGUCAGACCCUCUUUUCUCUUUUUCAUUGAAACCACCGUAUUAGAUUUUUGUUUUUUUUUUUUCCAUGGAGCAGCUUGAGUCGAGCCUGCUCUUUUCAAAUCUAAGCCCAAGCCUGUCUAGGCCCAAGCCACAUACAUAUUAUUUUAUUACUAUUAUUAAAAUAAAUAAAAAGGUUUUAUAUUUACAAUUUAAUCUUUUUAAAUAUUUAAAUAUGUAAAAUAUAAUUAAAUUAAACAUACAUUAUAUUAUUUAUAUCAAAACAAUAACUUCAAGUUCAAACUUAAAAUCUUAAUCAAAAUUAAAUUCAACAUGGACAAAAGUUUUUAAGAAAUUAAAACUUUUAACAUUUAUAGAUAGCAAAAUGCAUAAUUUAAUUUUUGCAUGGAUUAGUUAUGUUUGAUAUGCUAUUAUUCUUGAUGUUCACUCAAUAUUAACCAAUUAUAAUAAUUAUGUUUUCUAUUUGUUGUACUUUACACAGCAAUCUAAUAUUUAUAUAAAUUAAACUAGUAAAAUGUACAUAACAAUAGGUAACAACCAAACACUUAUUAUUAAGAGAUACCUUAUUCCAAAAGUUAAUUAGAAUUUUAAAUUUUGAAAUUGAAAAAUUUUAGAUUCAAAUAUUAGGAAGAUAGUGUAGCGACCAAAUAAAGAUUGAUAAUAUCAUAAAUAAAUGGUCAAAAUAUCUGCAAAGUCUUUAUAUUAGGGUAUUUUUUUCAAGUUAGUUAUUCUACUCAAAAUCGUAACAUUUUAGUCUCUGAUUUUUAAGAAUUAUUUCAAUUUAGUCAAAAUAUCACUUAUCAUUUUAUAUCCACAUGACACUGACAUAACGUUAAUGUAGAUAGUGAAAAAUAUUAUAUGAUCAUGUUAUCAUGUCAAAUUAACAUGUCACGUUAUCAUUAAUUAUAACAUGUCAGCAUGUCAUAUCAUUAUAAUUAUGAUAUAUUAGUAUAUCACAUAAACGUCACGUGAUGUAAAACGAUAAAUGACAUUUUGAUUAAAUCAAUUAUUAAUUAUGAAGACUUAUUUGACUCAAAAUAAAAAUACAAGUAUUUCAUUGAAUACAAUAAAAAUAUAAAAGCCUACUUGAACUUUCUUAAAUAAUUUAGAGAUUUUUUUUAGAUAUUGUACCUAAUGGAAAAAACACUCUUUCAUUUUUAAAUUUCAUUUUAUUGAUAUCAGAUUCAAAUUUAAAAUCUCCAAGUUAGAGUCUCAAAAUCUAAUAAUUAAGAUGAAUUCUCAUUCUUAACCACUACAAUUAAGUGGAUAUAUAACAUAAUUUAAUUUGUUGAAUUAUUACUGUUGAAAUAUCAUCAUGAGGAGAAAUAGAUUCCAGAUUGUAAUUAGUAAAAAUCAGCUCUAUAUAAUCCUCCUGCUAAUAAAAUGAUAUCAAAGUUAUAACAGUAACAAUCAAUCAAUCAAUCUAUGGCCUUUAUUAGCAAGCUGAAACCACCUAAUUCCAUCUCAAAUUUUGUACAACAACCAGACCUCCUCACGUUCGUGUUGGAAGUUGGAAGCAUAGCAAAAGUCAAAGCUGAACUGAAGAUAUUCAUUUAUCUAGUCAAGCAAAUUUGACAAAACAAAGGGGAAGUAGUCUAAUUAAUUAAAGAUUUGAAGACAGAUAUAUAUAUAUAUAUGUCCUCAUCAUCUUUUUUGCGCACUAAAUUCAGCCCAAUAGCAGGCAUCCUUUGUCUAAUUAUUAGCUAUAGACAUUAUAGAUAAGACAUAUAGCCUUUUGACCUGAAAUGCAAUAAUAAUAUUGAAAUUGCCUCCAGCAAGUCAUCAAUGGCAACCAAAACACAAUGAAUUAAACAAAGGAAAGUUCAUUUGCAUUGAAAAGUUGAGACACACAAAAAGGGAUUAGAAACCAAGAUGAUCAAUAAUGCCUAAUACCACAUCACAAAUAUGCUUCAAACCCUCUUCUAUACGUACAAUCUCUCGCGGAUAAACCAGCCCCGGAUACCUUCUAAAUGCGUUAUGGCAAGCGUUUGGAUACUCCGCGGCUGCCAUGACAUGCAUGUACGCGUAAUCAUACGACUCCGAUUCAAAAUCUCGGACGGAAGCUUGAAGAGCAUCGCCGGCGUGAGCAUACUUGUCGGAGCAUUCUUUCAAUACUUUCUUAAGGAUUGUGUCAUUUGUGGUACUGAGCAAUUGGGAUGAUAAGAAGGUUGAUGUGGCCGUGGCAUUAGCCAUUCCAACUCCAACCAGGAUCGUUGCCAGGCCCUUUGUGUCCGAAUUCAAGCUAGUGGGAUCGGACUUGAGGGAGGAGACACAAAGGUCAUAGUACUUGGUUGUUUUGCAAGUCUUUCGGAUUAAAUCAGCAUCUCCAUUGACUGAUAUUGUUAAUGCUAGGGAGACAAGAAUGGAAAUGAAAAAGGAAGAGCCCAUUUUUGACAGGGUGAGGAUAAAAUUUUCUUGUGGGGGGGAAGCGAGGAAGGACGAGAGAGUGAAAUUUAGUGAAGUGAGAGGAAGCUAAGAGGAGAUUAUAUUAUAUUAUAGGAUGGUUAAUAAUUUUUUCUAUCAAGGGCUAUCAUUAUGGGUUUCUUUUUGACUGAGGGUGCUAUAUGGUCACAAAAUAAUCGUACGGAAUGAGUUGUUUUUAAUUUAUUGCGUGAUUGAAUGUAAAGGGGUAAGGCUUUAUCGGCAGGCGGGCAUGUUGGUCAGAUGGCUCUCUUUAGCAGCAGGCCAACUGCCAAAAAUUGGGUUCACGGGGAACAUGUUGUUAACAGCCUCGUAGAUCCUCUCAAUUUCCAAUGUAAUUUUGAGUUCUGCACUUCGACAAUAUCUUGUGAAAUUGGAAGACACGCCACCCGGAACCCGGACCCAUCAAUAAUUGCACCCUGUGAUUGUGAGGAUUUUUCAUUUCAUCUUCAAGUUAGAGGCUGCUCCACGUUACUCUUAUGGACCUUUUAAGAUUUAACAAAGGUUAAGCGCAGUGACUGACAUCAAGGAUGUAACAUGUAAAUGUUAGAUCCUUCCAACCCAAAUGAAUGGAUAACAAUUCAUGUGAUCUCUUGUGCUUAAUGCAUCCACCUUUAUUGUACAUUUCAAAUUUUAUAUCGUUGAAAAAGACAGAUUGUUGAAGAAUAACGGUGGCUCCGCUCCUCUUCUCCGUUCCAACUUACAAAAUCAUGCAAUCAAAUUCACAUCACCAGCGAAGCAAGCACAAGUCAUAUACUGGAAAUUAACUCCAUUUACUAUGAAAAUUUUGCAACUUGGAUAGUUCAGAAGCUACUCAACAGCUUUAAAUCCUACAAAUCUAGAACUAGCAGUGAAAUUGAACAGGAUUUUUUGGUCACUGUUACGGAUCCUCAUCUCUCUUCUUUCUUGACAAGAGAUGGUAUGCUACAAAUAAAAAUUCAAAAAAUUAACUCAUAUAAAAGAAUUUGCUGGUUCUAAAAUGCAAUCCUGCUUGUGUUUCCUGUUCUCAUAGAUGAACCGGAGGAACUCUGUAAUAAGCUGGUAUGGUUACAGGGAAGAACACCUGUCUAACUCCUUCAGCCUUGAGUAUAGGGAAAAUGAUGCUUGAUGCUCCCUGAAUCAUGUGAAAGAUCAAUAAUUCCUGUUAGAUUACCUUGAAUAGUUCACAAUGUAGAAGAUAAUAGACCAAGCAAUGAAGAUACAAACCGAAAUUAAUCUAGCACCAAGUAGAAGGCGUUUGAACGAAGGAAAUGGAAGCAGUAAGCGCCCAACGCCAUAUAUAGCCACAGCGAAGAAGUGUAGGAUCAGGUUCAAUGGCCGAGGAUUCAUGCCAGAGAGUAAAGCUAUUGGUCCAUUUGAAAAAACACCGCCAAGGCUUAAAUAAUCGAAGCAUGCUUUGCGCAUUUCUCUCCUUGCUGGGUCGGAUGAUCCGCUAAACACCUUAUAGAGGGCACCGGCUAAUGUAUUUAUGGUAGAUGCUGUUGGCUGAAAUAUAAAGUCCACACAUUGUUUGAUUCCAUAAUUAUCAGUUGUAUAAUACUAAAUUUUGCUGCUACUUAGCUUUGGCACUUUAUUUCCUCAUGUAAGAUAGAGUGCAGAAAUAUGUGUAAGAUACAUAGUUAUGUUUUGCUUACCUUACGUAGAGUGUAGAAGGAUUCCAGAUAUUUGCACAAGGCAGAUGCAUCAUUUAGAUCGCGGAGAGGUCUAAGGAGGUCUCUUAAGACAACGAUAUCAGAGAGUGCCACAGUCAUUCCUCCACCGGUCAAAGGAUGCCUCAUGUUAAAUGCAUCUCCCAUCAACAGUGCACCCGGAGUUGGAUAGGGAGCAGCAGGCAUGCUUCUGUUAGGCAUCGUUCUUAUGUUUCUCUUAUCGAUUGCAGAUAUGAAAGCAUUGUAUAGCUCAGGGGGGAUCUGUGCAUGCAAACCAGUGUUCUUUUUAUUAGUCUCCAACUGAAAAUUAGAUGGAAAAGCUAAUGUAGAAAGAUAAAUUGAAAACUCAAAUCAACACUAUUAAACUCAAGUAUUUGGUUUUCAUCAGGUCAUUGCCACAAUCAUCAACAGAUAAUCAAAAUGAUAUAGCACAUAUAGAUUUUUCUUCUUUUUUCUUUUUUUUUUUGAAUUUCAUAUGGUACACUUGAUCAAAAAAAGGCAAAGGCAAGAGACUAAAGCAACCAUGCUUGUUAAAUUGUUAACUAGCAAAAUGGUAGAGCAAGAAGACAUAUAUACCUGAGGAGCCACCUCAGUUUUCAAGAAAUGGGACAUUUCGCCAUUAGAGACUGAGGGAACAUUUUGUCCAGGUACAUCAACCAGACAACGAACCUCUGUGCUACUAAUAGGAUAAAACAGGAUGGGAGAAGGAUCUGCCAAAAUAACGUGUCCGUGAUUUGCAUACGGAAGCUUACAGUUCUCCAGGACCAUAGCAACAAAACAAGAAGGGAUGUCAACCUGCAGAAAUACUUGCUAUAUAAAUACAAACACUACAGAAUAUUGUACAAUCUAGGGAGAUGGAACACUUGUAUGGAACAAUGGAAGACAAUAUCUCGAAGAAAUCUGUCACAUUUAUGAUCCUAUAUUUCAGAAAAAAGAGUGUGACAUAUAUAACAGUUUAUUCAAAUAAUUGAAUAAAAAUUAUUUACAUAUCCUUUUCACCUUUGGAUUGCAGAGAGAGCGCCUCAAAUUUGAGAAGCAUCCAUCACAUACAAUUGUAAGGGGAGCUUUAGCGAUCAGCUGUUGACCAUUCUUGGUUUUGUACUGCACCCAUUUAACAGUUCCCUUCUCAGUAAUUAGAGAUGUGACAGUUCCUUGUUCUAGUUUCACACUGUAAAGACAAAUUUGAUCGACAAUGAAAAUAAGUAAGGAAUUGGUAUUAUAUAUCACUUCUAACUUGGCUAAAUUUUAGGAGAUCAGAGAUGAUACUUGGGAAGGGUUGAUGCUUUUUCUCUCAUUCUUUGAAUGAAACGUCCAUUAUGGAAGCUUCUCCCUGCAACAUCUGAUUCGAAAUGUUGCAAGGGAUAUGAUAGUUUGGUGCUUUUCCCAUCCUUAAACAGAGCAUAUCCAAACACGCGCUGAGCAUCAAUCUCAUUCACACAAUCUGCAACCACAUACAUAUAGCUCACAUCACAUGUUACUAUAAUCAUAGUGCCUAUUUCUAUGAUUGAUUACUGCUAUACCUUUUGCUAUUUAUAUAAACAAAAAUAAGAGUGCAUAACAAAUUUCCUUAACAAUAUAUGCAAUUUCAUCAAUUUCGUACAAGAUAAUCCCUUUGUGCUUACCCUCAAGCCCCAACUCCAUCAAUUUCAGGUAACCUCCAGGUUGUAGAAGUUCUCCAACAAUUCUAUCAGGUUCAGUCAAGUCUCUCUCAAUCACUUUCACUUGGCGUCCAUCCUUCAGCAUACAGUAGAAAACAUGUUCAUCAGAAUUCUUAAGUGAAGAGCAACAAAAAUGCUUUUAAGAACAUUUGGGAACUCUUCCAAUGCGAGAUAAAGAAAGGAAAGAGAACGGCACAGAUUGUUAGAGAGGCAGAGACUUGUCACCUUCCCAAGAGUGUAAGCAAGAGCAGAACCAGCAACCCCUGCCCCAACAAUGAUUAUAUCUGCACUCCUACCUAUCUCUGAGUCACGGGGUAAUCCAUUAUCAGAGCUCAUUGAAAAUGUCUCCUUCUGAAUUUUCUUUGAAGAAAAAACGGUCUGCUUCUGAAUUUUCUUGUAUAGCAAAACAAGACCCAAAACAGAAGCCAGAAUUGCUCCCAGUAGAUAUUGGCAAACCAUCUUCUCGAGAACUGAAUUGUUUUUAUGCUUAGUGUGUGUUUGAGUUGCAUGUUUCCAGCAACUGAACUUUGAGGCUUUUAUAGGCUUGCAAAGGCCACAUUGGGAACGCAAAAGCUACUUGGUCCAUGCUAGUGUUUGCUUAAGAAGUUGUGCUACUAGUCAAAGUAGAGCAGUAGUAACGUAAAAUAAUAACAAAUUUUGAAAAAAAUAUACUGUAAAGAUGAUUUAUUAGUCAGAGAUUUUCUCUGAAAUAACAGUUCUAAGAAGAGCGGAAUUGAUCAAGUAAAAGUUUGAGGACGCGAGCAAUGGUCAAAGUUAUGAGAUGCCCCCUAAUGUUAAAAAUGUUUUCAGGGUUUCAGUCAUGGAAGCCACCAAACAGGAAAUGACAAACACAGAAAUAAAUUGGAAAAACACUUCACUUCCCCCCAUUAAGUUGCAGACAAACUAUAGAAUAAAGAAUUUUAGAAAAGAAAAGGCCGGGUAUACUAGGGCGUAGGUCAAGUAAUCAGUCAGAAUUUAGGAGCAAUAUUUUGUCAAAUCCUCUGGUGGGGGCAGUAACAGCGGUAUUUAGUAAUGUCUUCGUGGUAAAGCCAUGGGCUUGCAGUCUCACCUUCUUUAGUCAAUGUUUUAAAUAACCUAAACUCAAACAAUUAAUGCCUUAUUAUCUUCUGCUGAAUCAAUUUUCAGCCUCAUUCUCUUGCUCAGACUCUGCCCACAACAUGAUGAUGGGCUAGAAGCAUGGUUAUAUGCAUGAAUGUCUGUGAGAAGAUUUAAUCUUAAGAAAACUACUGCCUAUAUUCUUCAAGUACCGACCUCAUUAUCUGCAUCAAAUGAAAAUAUUACUAGCAAAGGCAUGAAGAGGUUUAAAACUAAUGAUAAAACCCAAAUUGCAUAGCAAAGGAUAAGGAUUAACUUCUUAUGUAUCUGGAACAUUAUCGUGCAAUUGUUUAAUGAGUUCAAAGUUUUUCUUUUUUCAAACAAGAAAAUGAUCAUAUAUUAAGAUAUGAUUGUAAGUUAAGAUAUCGUCAAUGUAACACAUAAUUAUUUCAUAUAAAAUUCACUCAAAUAUCAAUACUAUGAUCAUAAAUGACAUCACAAAUUAUGCUUAAGUUUUAUUAAUUAAUGCUAAUUAAUAAAAAAUAUUAACCAUAUAAUUCAUAAAAUCUAUAAUUUUUUUACUACAAAUUUAUAUUUGCCAGUUUUCAUUAAUUGUUAUUAAUUUUCAUAAAUAAAUUAGGUGCUAACGAUUAUAAGGGGUUGACGCUUUUUUUCCCAUAAAAAACAAACAGAUGGGAGAUUCGGUAGGCAUUACAAUCUUUUAAUAAUUAAGUAAUUAAAAUAAAAAAUUUUAAAAAUAAAGUGACAAAAAGAUUCACGUUACCACACUCGCACGGCUGAAGUUAUUUUUCACUUUUGCCCUUUAACUGUUUGAAAUUUGAAGUAACAUCUUACCAAAAAUAUAAUUUUAAAAAUUUAUACAAAAGUAUAAUAUUUAAAUUUAAAAAAAAUAAUAAUUACUUCAAGUUAAAAAUAGUUGUAUUCCAUAAUAUAACCAUACAUCAAAAAAUGUAAUGACGCACAUUUGAAAGAGAAUUACAAAAACAUUUGAAAAUUAAGAGAGGGAUAAUUUUGUCAGAAUUCAAAAUAGAAUGGGUAUUCAAUUCUUUCCUCCCAAAAUGUACUGAUCGCAGUUGGUUCGAUUUUUGGAACCGAAAGGAGUUUUGGGUGUCAAAUGCAAUGCCACACGACCCAAAAAAUCCCAAAUAGCUAAGUAAUGAAAGGUUGCGGCCAAUAAUCAGAGAUUGGAAUAAGCAAAUGCUUUUUGGAAGUAACAGUGUCUUUACUAGCAAACUACUGAGAUGAGUGCACGUCGAGAGCUAUUCAGCAGAACAGAGACACCCCACAGUCAGAUUAAAAACUAUGAUGGUAAAUGACUAUUUUCAUUUUAUAGUCCCAUUUUCAUCCAUGGGCUAAUGCUAUUGCCUUCUCAAAUGAUCUGUGAAUACAUCUUUUUCCUAUCUUCAACAAUCAUUCCCUGCAAAAUCUCUCUACAACUUUAAUGUUGCUUGUACUUGCCAUCUUAUGACUGUAUCCAAAACUACAUAAAACAAGCACAAAUUGAAUGCUGCAAUGUCUUUAAUAGAUGGGACUCUGAAGCAUUGAUUCAUACAUGUAUUGGAUUCACAAAACCAAAACAUGAUAUGAGCAUAUAUCAGUCAAAGACCACCACACAACUGGUGGCACGUUUAAACUGAAACUCCAUAAAGCAAUCAUAAAACCAUAAGCCAAUAACCAAUGCGAAACAAAUAGGGGACAUAUUCCAAAAGGUAGUCAUCACAACUUUCAUUCUCAAAUUAAACACUUACAUAGAACAAUGGUAAACCAAGCAGCAGCAGCAGCACAACUGAAAAUUUAUUCCUAAUAACACAAUAACUCAUCAAGACCGUUAAAAUGCAGACUAGUUGUUAUAUGUAAAGGGUAUAUAUUUUGUGGCAACUUAUUCAAAGGGAUACAACACACUGUUCAAAUUGUUGUCUUCUGUGAAGGAUGCCAACAUGGACAAAAUAUCAUCAUCAUCAGAAACUUGAGGAGCCUCAAAGAAAGAAUCAUUAGCAGUACCAAUCACUUGACCAUUGUCAUAAAUGAUGAAUGCAUCAUCUUCUCUGAAGAAAUCCAACAUUGAUAAAAUGUCAUCAUUUGAUUCUUGAACUUGAGGAACUUGAGCAAGUUGAGGAGCCUCCGUUGAUGCAGGAACAGCCUUAUCAACAACCACUGGAACUUGAGGAGCAUCCACAACUGUAGGGGCAGCAUUAGCAUUACUAUCAAUAUCAGUGGUAACACUAGCAGCAGCAUUAGUAAGAACCACUCGAGGUAGAGUAUACAACCCACUUGAUGCAACAGAUGCUCCAGCACAAAGGCUUUCAGGGACACACGAGCUACUAGCACCACCAACGGCUAGCGUAGACAUGCCAGAAAGAGAGCCAGUGCCGACCAAAUUUACGUCCUCAUCAUCACUCCAAUCUUCCUCCUUAAAUGGUGCUCCAUAUUGGGCACCGUUUCUUGGGCCCAGACCAUCCUUCUUGAAAACAACACAAAGCACAUAUGUAUCCUGAACAACCCCUCUGUCGGCCAAUUCUUUUUCUUCAAGUCGAUAUUCAUGCAUUACCCAAUCUGUUCGGUCCCCACGUGGAGCUUUACCUUGGUGAAAAACUAGAGUUUUUAUCAUCCCCACAACUGCAUCAUUGUAUGUAACAGUUCUAUCCUUUCCAGUGGUUUUCCAAUAACCAUACAUGGUAGCCCGAUUAAAUUUAACCCCUCGGGCGUAUUUCUUCUCAAUGGGACAAAAGAAGAACCAUUUUAGAUCUCCUGUCUUUAAACACGAGAAAUCUGGUAGAUCCCAAGGCGCAUAUUUGUAUAUAUCGAGCUCAGCAAUUGCUUCGAAAGCAAGCUUCUUGCCCAAUACUUUCCUCUUCAAAUAAUAUUUAACAAGUUCAACAUCAGUAGGGUGAAAUCUAAACCCCGGAGCCAACCAGUUUUUACCCAUCACAAUUUUGAAGUCUCAAUGCCCAAUAAUAAACAACUUAAAUUCACGAGCAAGUGAAUAUGGAAGUUGUGAUUCUGCUUAGACUAAAGCAGCGGAACCAAAACAAAGAAUCCAAAAAAAGAAAAAGGAUCAAAAAAUACUUGACGCGUAGAAAACGGGCCAAGUCCAAUGCCUAAAGGAGAUCUUUUGAGAACAAUACCAGAGUCUCCCACGGCUCAUAAACCCAAAAUCACAGCAAAGAAACGACGGCGGCUGAACGCAACUGAGGUCAAAAGUCAUUUGGCGUACAGAUUGAACCCUGAUUUCAACAUAUUAAGGUUCUCGUAUCAUUACAACUAAUCAAACAACACAUCAUUUCAUUCAAGUAAAAAAAAAACCCUAAAUCGCAAAAAUCAAAGAAGACAAAAAAAAAAAAAAAAGAGAAAGAGUCACAGCUCAAAUGGACGACCUCUGAUCAACUGGUAUAUGUAACAUACAAGAAUUACAACUACAUAGAAAAAGAGAAAGAGAAACCAAAGAAACGUACCCGAAGAGAAGAGAGCCGCGAGUGAGGAAGCGAUAGAGAGAGGGCGAGCGCGAGGGAGACCGAGUGAGUUAGACAAGAGCUGAAACCAACGAAGAGUAGAGAGCAAGCUAAGUUGUGCGCUCGUUUUAUAACGGCACUCUUUUACUACCAAAGUGCCUUUUUUUCCUUCUUUUUUUUUUAAUAAGGAAGGAAAUUCCUCCCCUGACCUAUGUUUUAUGGUCUGAAACACCCUACUAUUUACUACCAAAAAGGAAAUACCCUCACUAAUAAAUCCUUUGCUUCCAUUUUUAAAUUUUUGGCACAACUAUAACAUUUGGAUUCUUUCUACCAUGCUUUUUUUCUAAAAAAAAAAGUACAAAAAUUAAUUUUAAAAUUCAUUUUCUUCUAUUUAAAUGGUUAGACUACAUGACAAUAUAUAAAAAUGGUUAUAUAUUUCUAAUUUAUGCCAUUAAUUUCAUUACUAUAAUAUAUGACUAAACUAAUCAAUUGAUAGAACUACGGAGAAAAUCCAUAAAUUUUCGUACCUUUUCUUGGUGUUAUCUUAUUUGAAAGGUUUGAAGAACAAAAAUGAUUAAAAAAACAAUAGCCUCAAGAAAAUGUAUGAAGUACAAAAACCAAGAGGACUCCUGGGAGAUUAAAAGUAGUCAUCACAACUCAAAAAACAUUAAUAAAAAAUUAUUUUAAAGAGAUAUUAAUUUGAAGAAAGCAUUGACUCUACAAAAUAUGUUUAUUUUUGAAACCUAACUUAAGAAUUUUGGUAUUUAACAUUUGUUAAUUGCGGAAUAUGAUUUAUAAUUAUGUACAAAUAAAUUAAUGUAGGAUCAAAUAUUAUCAUUAACAAAUGCAAGUUGGCACAUAAUAUAACAUAAAACUACAUAAUAAUUAGUCUAAAGAGGCAUAAAAAGAGUAAAAAUUAAAUCAUUAAAAAGAUAUAUUUGUAAAAAAGUUGAUAUGAAAAAUAUUCAAAUGAGAGGUGCAUCUAUCUAUCAUGAUAAAAAAAAUUAGUUUAGAUAAAUAAAAUUAAGGUAUCAUAUUUUAAAAAUUAAGAUUACAACAGUUUCGAUAAAAGUUUCAACUUAAAAAAAAAAAUGUUUUUAGUCCUUGAAAGCUAAUUUCGAUCGUUUGUUCUCUAAAAUUUGCAAGCUGCUCUAAAAGUUGAGCCAGAAAGGACACUUAUAAUUUAAAUAGUUUAUUGUUUUUUAUAAUGAAUAAGAGUACGUACAUGAUGCUCGCAGGGCCAGCUUUGAGUAAAGCCACCCAUACAAGGGCUUUAGCCCCAAUCCGGGGAGGUUUUAAUUUUAAAAAAAAUUAUAAUUUUAUAAUAAUUAUAAUAUAAUUAAUUAUAUUAAAUAUAUAUAAAAAUUAAAAAAUUAAAAAAUAAUUAAUAAUUAAUAAAAUUAUUUAUUUUAUUAUUUUUUAAUUAUAUAUCUAAUAAAUUUUAAUAUUUUAUUACUUUUUUAUUUUUGAAAUGUUAUUAAUUUUUAAUUAUAUUAUCUUAUUUUCAAUAAAUUAAUAAUCAUAUGUAUUUAAUCAUCUCCAACAGUUUUUUUUUUCACUUAUUUCUCUUAUUUCCAAUCAAUUAACAGUCAUAUGUAUUUAAUCUCCAACAGUUAUUUUUUUCUAUAUAUAAAACCAAUUAUUUUUUUUUCAAUAUAUAAUAUCUACUUUUGAAAUCUUUCUUUCUCAUUUACACUUUCUUUCUUUAACUUCAAUUUUUCUCCAAAGAAUACACAAAAAGUCUGUUCUUUUAUUAUCUUCAUAAAGCUGUAAGUCUCAUUUAUGAUUUGUAAUAAGUAUUCAAUAAUUUGGUACUAUUGUUCUAAUCUUUGCACAUUUUUUUAUUUAAUUUAGAGUUUAUAUUAUAUUAUUAUAUUGCUUUUAUUUAUGUGAUAGUUGAUUUAUUUGAAUUAAAAUUUUGAUUGUUGAUUUUAUAUUAACAAUUUAAAAAAUAUAAAAAAUUAUAUAGUUAAAUAUUUUUUACCUCAUGUCAAAUCAAAAAUAUGAAUAUGGUUUUUCAAGUAAUUUUUUCACUUCAAAGUAGAUUUGAAUAAUUUAAGAUAUAUGAAAAUAUUUUUAAUUUUUUAUUUAGCGGUAAAAAGUUAAAGUCAUUAGAUGAUAAUAGUUUGAAAAAAUAUUGCCUUAAUCUUGAAUAUUCCUUAAAAUAUAACAACUAUUCUGAUAUUGAUGGUUUAAAUUUAUUUUCAGAAUUAAAAAUUUAAAAAAAAAAUUAUAUAGGAAGAAAACAGUCCAAUUGACGUACUUAAUCAUAUAAAAAUACUCGAUUCUUUUCUAAAUACAUAUAUUGCUUUUAAAAUAAUGUUAACAAUUCCAAUAAGUGUUGCUUCGGGAGAAAUAAGUUUUUCAAAACUAAAAUUAAUAAAAUCUUAUUUAAGAUUAACAAUGUCUCAAGAAAAAUUAAAUAAAUUGGCUAUAUUAUCAAUUGAAAAAGAAAUAUUAGAAGAAUUUGAUUAUAAAAGUUUAAUUAAAAAUUUUGCAUCUCAAAAAGCUAGGAGAAUAAAAUUUUAAAUUUUAAUAAAAAAAAAAGCCUCAUUUGAAUAUUUCACUUUAGGCCUUUGAACUUAUUGGACCGUCCUUGGAUGUUAACUCUAAGCUUCUUGUAAACCUUGACGUUUCUACUUUUGGUCAGCUUCGAGAGACAAUGGGAACCAGUUACAAUACCAAGGCAAAGAAUGGAGCAGUGUUUGCACUACAAUGAGUUAGGUGGUGUCAGUGAUGGUAGAAUAGGAAUCGAGCAACAGAACUUUGUUAGAUUUUGCAAGACUUGUCCUCAUAUGCAUGUCCAAUAAAGCAGAAGAUGGGCUAACAGUGAUUGAGGUGGGAAGAGAACUCAAAAGAAUUGAUAUGUUAUUCUCAUCACCUUCUUAGCCUGGACCUGGAACUCUCAGUUCAAUCCCACAGUUGCACGCAUUUUUCCUUUGGAAGCCAUGUCCUUUAUGUUACUUUCAGGUGCAAUAUUGCCAUUGAUUGUUGCUAAUAGUUUCAUUUUCUUUUCCUUUUGUUUCUUGUUUUUGCUAACAGGACAUUCUUUGUAAUAAAGUGGUACUAGUAUAGGAAAAAACAUUUGUCUAACCCCUUCAGACUUGAGCAUGGGGAAAAUGAUAGUUGAUAUAACCCAAGCAUGUCCUACUUCUUCUUAGGUUUUGGUAGCUAUACUUGCCAUAUAUAUUUGCUUUGACAGUUAAAAUUCUCCUUCUAUACUGCAAAUUUACUCCAAGUAUUCCACGUAAUCUGAAGAAAUUUAAAAAUUAUGGAAGUUGACUUUCCUACCACUCUGUUCAGUAUGUGCUACUGAAGUAUUAGAAACACUAUUAACAUCUUUGUGUGUUGACAUUGGGGAAGAAGAAGCACAAGAAUUAAUCGGAGUAACUCUAGCAUCAUCAAUAACAAUUCCAACAUCUAGAACAACCUCAAUAAUAGAAAUAGCUUCAUUGUCAAGAACAACUUCAUCUUGAGUAACUUGAGGAACAACCUCAUCUUAAGUAGCCUAUAGAGUAAGAAUAAUCUUAGUUUCAAAAAAAAAAAAAUGAAACAACAUCAAUUGAAGAAACAUUUUAAUAUUGUUCCUACUUGAUUUAUAUUGGAACUUUGAAUGUGAGAAGGGAACAGAGCAUCCAAAUCAAUGGAAUCAUCAAAGGGGUCUGUCAAUACAUUUGACAUUCUAAAAGGAGUAACAACACCCUCAAAAUCAGCUUCAACAACACCAAUAGACUCAUCAUUUGUUUCAUCAUUAUGUUCAGAGUCACAUGAUUCUUCCUCAAUCUCAAUUUCAAAAGUCUCUUCCUUUUUGACCAAGUUAAGUUCUACUCUAGCAGUUGUUUCUCUCUACAAAAAAAAAAAUAUAAUGAGGAAGUGAAUUUAAGAGAAAAAUAAUGAAGUAGAAGAAGAAAUAAAGGAUGAACUUAUUUUUCGAUGCACAUGUUUUGUUUACUGAGUAAGAGCGUGAAGAGCAUCAUUUUUUUCUUCAUUUACAUUUUUUUUUUAGAGAAAUCAAGUGUAAGGAUACAUUAGUGUUACUCAUAGAAAGAGUGUAGAGACAAGCUUUGGGAUUAGUCAAAAGCACAAUGAAAGAUCUCCAUUCUUUAAUACACCCCCUCUAAUAAGCAAACCAUCAAGAAGUGUAGAUACCAACUCUAUCAAAAGUUGGGACAGUACAACUUUUAAGUUUAUCUAAACAGAGUUGAAGUCUUGCCAUGAUAAAUGAAGAAACGCAAGAAGAAAAACUGAUAGAUGAAGAAGAGUUAGGUGGAGUUGAUUGGUCAAACCCAAAUUGACGUGCUACUUUGUAAGGACAAUAGACUUCGACAGAAAGAAAAUUUCUAUCUCCAUUUGAGUUGGAACCUUCAAUCAUAGAUGGCAAUUGAGAAUUGUGAACCCAUAAAAAAAGUUAAUAUCUUGUGAACUCAUUCUUCCAUAUUGUAAAAAGUGACGAUCAUAAUAAAUUUCAUGAUCAUCAAAUUCAUUUAUGGGCUACACAUAAGGUUUGGGAUUAAAUUCUUUUGUCACAUCCAUCACCUCAAGAACAUUACCUUUUGAAAGUAGAUCAUGCCACGCCUAAUCUCUAUAGUUGUUCAUUGAUAAAAGGUUAUUCACAGAAAAAUAUGCAAAAGGAUAUACAUUAGGCACGAGAGCGCGAGUACUAAACUUUUCCCAUAGGCACAUCUAAAUGAAGGAAGCAUCCACAUAAGUCAAAACUUUGUAACGUCCAGUUAGCUUGACAGUUUUGAGUUGGUACAAGUCUAGUUUCUUAUAUAGAGAUAAAUAGAGUGGAGCAAGAGAAAAAAGUUUUCCCUAAACAAUUUUUAUUGUUAAAGGAACAACUGCAGAAGAGAUACCAUCAUUUAGACACUUUGGAAGUAUGUGCCAUGCCAACCAAAAUAUUAUUAAAGCUAUUAGCUCAUGCUUAUGGUUUGGGUACUCAAGAGGGCCAAUCUUAAUUUCCUUAGCAUUGAACUUCUUAUAAAAUAUCCCUAUUCAAUUGGAAAACCGUGCAACCUUUGAAGUUUUACUCAAACUUUUAAGUAGAACAAAGAAAAAGUCUCGAAUACACACUUCUUCUUCAAAAAGCUUGAUAGAGUGAAAAUCAUGCUUCCACAUACAAAGAAGUUCUAAGAGAAUACACACAUUUUUCAAACUGAAAGUAAAUUCCCCAAUACUGUAAUCAUAGUAUAAGAAAAAGUGUUCCACCUUACAACAAUAGCAUGCCAUACAUCCAUCGUUUUCUCUCUACAAAUAUUGAGCUUGGAAGUAACACAUACAGCAUCAAGUAUUCCACCAGAUGAGAGAAGUUUAAUAUAAGUAGGAUUUUUCAACAACUUAUUUACCCACUCAUCCAACCAUAAACAGAUUGAGAAUUAGAGCCUAACUUAAUAGUAGAAAGUGGAAACUCACCAUGCUUAAAUUUGAACUUUAGAAUGUAUAAUCUUGAAAUACCACUUUUUUUAUGAAAAAGUGCUUAUAAGCAUAGAUGAUUCUAAUCAUAUCCAACAGGUUUAGAGGGAUGUUUGUCAAUCCUCCUGACACAAACUUCUUCCCAAAAACUAUUUUCUCCCCUUUCUCUAAUGAUUUUAUCUUCUCGGUUUUAAAGAACAGGAGGAAUUUCAACACUCUUUCCUACUCUAAUUUUCUUAAGAGGAAUUACUUCAAAAUCAUUACUCUUGCUUUUAUGUGCAAUGAUCUUUUUCCUUGUUGCAGCCUUUCUAGGCUCACCACAAUAGAUCUUUGGAAAGAAACGUGUCUUGGGCAUAGAAGAAGAUGAAAAAAGAAACCUACAAACAUGAUCACGAGAAAGGAGAUAAAUAUACAUAUGUAAUAAUUUAUUUAUUUAUUAAAUAUAAAAAAGCAUAACAAUAACAACAACGAAGUAAAACAACAAAACUUAUCAAAUUAUAGAUUUUGAUAUUAUUAUUAUUUUUAAUAAUAUAUAUAUAAUAAAAAAGUUAAAUAUCUAUAAUUUAAAAAAAUAUAUAAAAAAUAAAUAAGUAAAAUUUUAAAAGAAAAUCUACAACUUCAAAUAAAAAUAACAUAAUAAUAACAUAAGUAAAAAAUUAUAAUUACACAAAAAAAAGUCACCGCAUAUAUGCCGCGAGCUCCAAAAGAAAUAACUCGCGACACAUGCCGCGAGCUCCAAAAGAAAUAACUCGCGGCGUCAAAGGAAAUAGCCCGCGGCACGCCUCGAGGUCCAAAAGAAAGUUUCAAAACAAAAUUAUAAAAGGUGGCCAUACAAGCCACAAGCUUCAGCACAAAAGCGAAGUAAAAAAAAAAAAACGCUAAGCCGUGCCUUAAGCCUAAAACAAAAGCACUGUUACUAAAGUCCUCUUUUACACUUUGGCACUAUUUGUAAUUUGUUUCGGAUUUGCUCUAAAACAGAGCCUCAAGAUUUUAAAAGUCCAAUUGUAUAUAAUAAAAAAAGAGAACCUAAGCUUCAACGCUAGAAAAAGCAUCAAUUAAAUAAAAAAAAAAUCAUCACAGCUUCUACGGUGAGCAAACAAAAUAAGAGAAAUACUUGAACGCCCUCUACAACUCUAAUAUUUAUAGGCCAACUUUUGACUUGUCACUCUAGCUUGCCUAGCUAAAUCUCCUUAUCUUUCUAUUCUUUGUGACAUGUUAAAAUAGCUUUCAAUUGAUAGAGAUUACUUUUGUUUAGGAUAUUCAUGAGACAAAAAUAAUUAAAAAAAAUCUUUAAACUGCUCAAUAGAAUUAAGAUUUUUACGUAAGUCAUGAUGUAAAAUUCUACUAUAAUAAUCUAAUUCCAUAGGGAUCUUAAUUAUAUCUAAUAAGUAAAUAAUAUACCUAACUUUGCUUAUCUAAUAAUCAUAUAUAAAGUAAAACAAUUUAUUUGUCUCCUUGAACAUAUGUAUACAUUCAAACAUAAAAAAAAAAAAUCCUUCAAUCAAAAACUCAUGCAUGAAAAAAAAAUUUCUUCUCAUAUUUCAAUUUAAAAAGAAUUUUUUCAUGCAGGAGGCAACAAGCAAAAGAAAUUCAAUUUUUUUGAAAAAUUAUAAAAAUACAAAAAGAUAGAAAAUAAGAAAUUAUAUAUAUAAAAAAUUAAUUUGUUCAAAAAGAUUUACAAAACAACAAACCUUUUGUUUUGAAUUUUAUUUUGCUUUGGAAUCUGAAUGAAGAAAAUUAUUUAUGGUAACUUCAUAUUUAUAAACCACAUAAAUAAGAUUUUUAUGAAAAAUAUUAACUUUCUUUUUACAAUUUGUAUAUUGAGAAUCUUAUUUUAUGAAAAAUAUAUUGUUAUAUGAGCAAUUAAAUAUUACACAAGACAAUAAUAUAUUAUUAUCUGAAACGUUAUUGGCUAAGGUGUUAUUAUCUAAAGGGUGUUGCUACUCGAAGUGUUACUGUAUAAUACAUUAUAAUACAAAAUAAAACUUUUCUCUAAAUUAACGCAUGAGAAUUAUUUUUAAGUAAAAAAAUUCUUAUGUUGAGGGUAAAAUGUAGAUACUUGAUUUUAGUUAAUAUCUAUUCUUCAAAAAAUUAUUUUACAACAUAAUAUUCUAUAGAGAACAACCAAAAUGAGUGAAGCACUACUUCACACAGAACAACUAGAACAAGUGGAGUGUUACUUCACUCAAAACAAUUAAAAUAAGUGUAACGCUACUUCAUAUGGAAUAACUAAUACAAGUAGAACAGUUACUUCGCAUAGAAUAGCUACUGCACAUGGAUAAUAGGAAAAGCAACCCAAAAUGAAUGGCAGGGUUCAUGGGUUAUUUCUAUUUUGAGAUGUUCCGAAAAGUUUGGUUUUAUAAUUCAGAUAUAGAGGUAGUUAAGAGGUCUUUCUCUAAAUCUUUUCCUGAAAUACAAGUGUUUUACCUUCCAACCUUAUUCUUAUAUACCUAUUCACAUAUAUUUUUUUCUCUUGUACCUAUUCAUGUACAUCUUGUACC